UGGGCGCCGGUCGGGUGGGCGGAUGGGGCGGUGCCCGCUCGGAGCUGCCGCCGCGGGGUACUCACGUCCCACCUGCGGAAGGUGGGGCUAGCUCUGGAGGAGUUCCUUGGUGGCCUUGAGGACCUCAGACUUAACCCGGCCGCUGGAGCCAUCCCGGCGGACUGGAAGUGCACGGGCUAGGAGAGCAAGAAGGACGUGACAGGCGGGCGAACCUGACGUAAUUAGUGAACGAGGGCUAAAGAAAAAGAAGUCAGUAGGUGGAGAUGGGGCACACCUUUAGUCCCAGAACUCGGGAGGCAGAAAGAUCUCUAUUUAUUAUUAUUUUGUCAACAUGUAUGUCUGCACUACGAAAGAGGACACUGGAUCCCAUGAAGCUGCAGUAAUAGACAGUGGUGUCCCUCCCUGAUGAUUGCAUGCCAAGAUGAUCUGGUCUUCCCAUCCGUUGUUGGUAAGUUGACUUUCUACAUCUUUUGGCCAACACCACAAAGAUACUUACUUCAGAGGGCAGUGAGCAUAGAGCACCUCAAUUCUAACAGUCUAAUAAGGAAAAAGAAAAAAAAAAAAAAAAAAAAGAAACCCCAGCAGACUCUGAGACUCGAGAAGAAUUUAAGGCUGAAAAUGAACGGAUCAGAACCAUUUCUCCCAAAACAGAUUUUUUGUUUGUUUGCUUGUUUCUUGGGUUUGUUUGUCUAGUUGGUUGGUUGGUUUUUGGUAGUGGUGGUGGAGGGGUGGGCUGUCCACUCAUGAAGGCUGAAGACCUUGAUGUGUAUUUUGAGAUGCUGACUGAGGUAAGCAUUUCUGCUGAAGCAUUUCUCCAAGUCUGCACAUUGGUAAGGUUUCUCUCCUCCGUGAGUUCUCUAACGCCUGAUCAGAUUGAACCUUUGACUGAAGGGCUCGCCACAAUCGAGACACUUAUAAGGCUUCUCUCCUGUGCAUGUCCUCUGAUGAGUCACCAGGGUGGAGUUCUGACUGAACAUUUUCCAGCCUGUUAAAGGUUUUUCUCUAGUGUGUAUUUUCUGGUGUCUAAGAAGGUGGGAGCUAAGGCCAAAAGUCUUUCCACAUUCCCAGCACCUGUAUGCUUUCUGUCUUGACUGGACUCUGAACUCGUCUGUCACACUGCAGCUCCAUAUUUCCAGAGAAUUUGUUGACCCUCAUGUAUCUUCUGGUGGUUAAAAGGUUUGAACCUUGACUUUUAGUCUUUCCACACACGCAACAGCAAUGGGGCUUUCUCUUGCUUUGUCCUCCGACACUUUGUUAAGGUAGAAUUGCAACCAAAGCCUUUUCCUCACCCAAGACACUUGGAGGGCUCCUCACCUGUGUGCAUUCGCUGCUGGCCAAUCAGUCUGGAAUUCUGACUGAAGCUCUUCCCAUAUUCUGGGCACCUGUGGGGUUUUUCUGCAGUGUGAGUCUGCCUGUGUUCUACUAGAACAUGGCUGUGACUGAAGCCUUUCCCACAAACAGGACGUUCGUGUGGCCUCUCACCAGUGUGUAAUGUGAUGCCAAAUAAGGCAGAAGCUGCUGCCUAAACCCUUUCCAGUCAGGACACUUAUAAGGCCUCUCUCCUGUGUAAGUUCUCUUGUGAACCAUAAGGGGGAAAUAUUGCUGAAGCUUUUCCCUCACUCGCCACACAAGACGGACUUCUCCCCUGCGCGUGUUUUCAAAUGCUGAACCAGGUGGGAACUGUUAGAACAGCCUUUCCCACGUCUAGAACAUUUAUAUGAUUUUUCUCCUGAGUGUGUCCCCUGGUGUGUAUGGAGACGAGAAGCUUUCCCAGCAUUUAGAACAUUCAGGGGGCUUCUCUCUAAAAGACGAAUUCCACUGGGCAGAGGUGUUGAUAUGAUCUUCAGAACCCCAUCCUCCUUGGCGAGGUCCCCCCUCCUUUCUCUAUAGUGUCCUCCUGUUUCUCUGAUUGGUCAUCAUUCUCAUAAGAAUCAUGACAACAGACCUCUUCUCCAUGAGACUAUACCAGAUGCAUGCUUCUGUUCGUCGUGCUUAGAAUUCUGUGGCCCUCAUCUUUUAGACCAUUUUAGAGCCUUCUCUUGAAGUUUAUCAGCCUUAGGUGUACUGCUUUGAACAGUCCCUAAGUUAUCCCUAUUUUCAUCUCCUGCAAGAAUUAAAAAAAAAAAAAAAUCUAACCAUAGUCCUUUAUCUUGCCUGACAAAUUCUGAACUGAAGUGCGAGAGUAACAGUGGAAACCCUCAUAAUGCAUUAUUAGAAAAUCAGUGUAUGGGUUGGUGAUUUAGCUCAGUGGUAGAGCGCUUGCCUAGGAAGCGCAAGACCUUGGGUUCGGUCCCCAGCUCCGAAAAAAAGAAAAGAAAAAAAAAAAAAAGAAAGAAAGAAAGUCAGUGUCUGUGUGUGCUUGGAGGUGCCUUCCCUUUGGUUUCUGCUGCUAUUUUAAACACCACGACCAAAAGCAACUCGAGGAGGAAAGAGUUUCUUUCAUCUUAUAUCACAGGUAACUGUCCAUUGCUAAAGGAAGUCAAGGCAGGGUCUCCAAAGGGGAACUGAGAAACCGUGGCGGGGGGGGGGGGGGAGGAGGGUGCUGUUUACUACAUUGUUCCCCAUAGCUUGCUUAGCCUGCUUUUAAUAUCAUCCAAGACUAUCUGCCCAGGGUGCCACUGCCACAACAGGCUUGACCCUCCCACAUAAAUCACUAGUUAAGAAAAUGCCCCACAGGCCAAUUUGAUAGACGUUUUCUCAAUUGAGGGUCUCUCUUCUCAAACAACUCUAGCUUCUGUCAAAUUGACUAAUAAAAACUAACCAGGAUGGUCAUUCUUACUCCUGUGUUUGCUCAGUCUUAUUUUCACUUCAUAUGACAGUCUACUUAGGUCCCUUUUUACCUUGUAAACCUCAAAUAAAGCUUAGAACAUUUAUUUUUAGGUUGGUAUUGCCCUUGGGAUUUGCAUAAUCGAAAACUCAGUUUGUAUGGUGGAUAAGAACAAAAUCCACUAAUGAACACUCAGAAUUAAAAGUAAGACUAGUUUUAAAACAUUUCUGUAGGGGCUGGAGAGAUGGCUCAGUGGUUAAAAGAGCAUACUGUUUUUUGGUUUUUUUAAAUAAUUAUUUAUUUUAUGUAUAUGAGUACAUUGUAGCUGUCCUCAGACACACCAGAAGGGGGCAUCGGAUCCCAUUACAGAUGGUUGUGAGCCACCAUGAGAUUGCUGGGGAUUGAACUCAGAACCUCUGGAAGAGCAGGCAGUGCUCUUAACCACUGAGCCAUCUCUCUAGCCACCUUGAACACUGUCUUUUCCACAUAGUAUCUAGCACAUUUUACAACAAGUUCCUCAGGCUUCAGAUCAUCUUGACCUGUAAUCAUGCCUUUUAACCUCUCCCACUUGGUGAAAUUCGAGUCGGAAACCAAAAGCUCUGAUCCUUGCUCCAUCCCAGUGACCUCACCAGACUAAGGAUGAAUGGUCCUAUGGGAAACAACCGUGGUCACGGGGAGCCGUAUUUGUUAAGUUUAUUCUCUUAGUUCCCUUCCCAGCCAUCACGGCAAAAUGAUGGAAAUGAGAAACAUGGUCAUCAGAAGUCUCUUCAGGAAGUCUUAUCCUAGAUGCAAAUGUUCAGAAUUAAGUUGGUUUCCUAUUCUUAAACAACAAUGAGAUCUAUCCUUGUUUUAUGUGUGUUAGUGUUUUGCCUGCAUGUAUGUCUGUGUGGUACCAUGGAGGGCAGAAGAGAGUAUUAGAUCCCUUGAACUGGAGUUGUCAAUGUAGCGAGUCACCUUGUGGGUGUGUGAGGUCCGAGUUGAACCUCUUCCAGGAUCUCUCGAAUGAGACUCACAGAGACAGUGAUUGAUGCAAUAGCAAGAGGAGUUUAGUUCCAACAUGUCAGGGUCCUCCCACUUCAAGGGGAGCCGACCCCGAGCAGACUCUGACAGGGAGUUAUAUACCUUGCAAACAAUUGGGGCAGAAUUCAAACAAUUGGUAACUAGGCAGGGUAUUAUUGAUGGAGCAAAGUGACCUCCAAGCUGACUCGUGAUCAGUGGACCAUUCUGGAUUUCCCAGGGGUACAGUUGGGAGUCAAGGGGAGGUCAGUUGGGAGUCACAGGUAGCUUUGUUUGACAGUUUGGUUUGCAGUUGCUCCGGGAACUAACUACUCCGUGGAAGGGAGGGGUCUUUGUGCUUGGAGAUUUGUAGUGGAACUUUCCCACUGCCCUUAGAUUGGCCCCAACUCUGGCUCCUUCAGGUGCUGGGAACUGAACCUGCAUUCCCUAGAGGAACAGCCAGUGCUCUGCACUGCUAAUCCAUCUCUCCAGGUCCACAACUAAAUACGUUUAUUUUUUUACCUAAUGUGUGAUGAUAAUUGAGUUACUAUUUAUUAUCAUUAUCUCUGUACUAAAGCCUGAGGAUCAGGUUUCAAGGAUAGAGUGAACACUAAUAAUGUCCCCUUGCGGCUUGGAAGCCCUCUUAAUUGAAGACGACAUCGUGCUUUUUUAAGCAAAGCAGAAUAAUAAAACAUAAAGGCAUCACGGAAUCCACAUGCAAGUGCAGAAAGCAGCUAUAGGUAGAGGAUCUUAUUUAGGGUCUGAAGGGUCAGUUGGUUGUUAACAGGAAAAAAGCUUUUGACAGAAAAAAAAAGUCACUUUCAAAAAGAACACUUAUAUAAUCCACAACAAUUCCUAAAUACAAAAGAGGACAGCCUUCCGUCCUGCCCCAUUGCUCCUAGAUUCUACAUUAUGCAUGUCAGCUUAAACUAUCUCUGGAGCUAACGACCUGAUCAUCCAGUGUCAUGUGGACACAAUCCAUAUCAGCAUAUGACAAAAGCAUGAAUGGGGGACAAAGAAUCCUGAAAGGAUAGACAAAGGCAUUCAUUUACAAUGUUAAUUCUUGCCCCUACUGCUGCUUAUACAAACCAAGCAAUAAAUCACUUCUUCCAAGUUCUCUGAUCAGCCUAAGGUGAAUAAACAAUAGUAUUUUUAUCUAUGCUAUCUUUCUUAAGGAGUGAUUUUACAAGUGUGCCCUAGGAAUUAAGGAAUUUCCCAAGGCCACACAACCAGAAAGUGGUAGCACAGGUGUGAGUCUCAAGCUGAUUGGAUGCUGCCUUUCACACCACGUAUUACAGCACACCAAAACAGGAAGUAGCACUGAGUAUUAAUUUCCAAGUGCAAAUGAUCCUCUGACUCCCUGCAUCAACUGUAUUUUUAUUUCCAAACCUUAAGACCCAGUGAGCCAACAGCGAUUAAGAACUGGUUUGUUAUAUGGUCAAAGAGGUGAAAUCACAUCCACAGAGUUUGACAAGAACCAAAAAGAAACCUGGAUGCAGACAAAACAGGGCUGGAGAGAUGGCUCAGCAGUUAAGAGCACAGGCUGCUCUUCCAAGGAAUUCCCGGUUAAUUCCUAGCACCCACUCACUUAGUGGCAAACAGUUGAUGUAACUCCAGUUUCAGGGGAUCCCAUGCCUUCAUCUAGCUUCCGUGGGCACCAGUCAUGCACACACUUGGCACACAUAUAUGCAACCAAAACAUACACGAAAAAUAAUUUUUAGAAAGUCCCCAACACACAGAAAGUGGACAGUUAGUACCUAUGUAACUAUCUCUAAAAUGCUAUUCUAUCUCAGUUAUGUAUUUCUGUUUUGCUACCAGUCUGUGUAAGAUUCACAUUUCACCACUUUCCCUAACAUACUAUUAAAUUCAGUAGUAAAAGAGCCGGGGAGAACACGGCUCGCAAAGCAGGUACAUUCAGGCCAUCCCGUGGCGAUGAAUGACGGUCCGGCCGCGCUUGUCAGGAACCUUCCCAGCGCCUGGGAGCUAAUAUAUAGCAAGGCUCCGGGGAGGCAGGUGGGGGCCGCCAGGGAACAGGUCGGGCCAGACCGCGGAGGUGCUGCGCCUGCGCCGCAGCUGCAGAACCCGGUGCUGCAGUGCCUCCUUUCCCCAGUAAGAGCUCACUGUUGGGGUCGCUGCACGGUGGAUCCCUACGCCCCAAGUCUCUGCAGUCGUCUUCAAAAAAGGAACUCGCCGCUUUAGGCCCCAACAACUUAGGGUCCUACACCCCCCAAGCAAGAGGGGAAGUUUUCACCACACCCCUACCUAAGACUCACUUUGUCCAAACCUCUCUAGGAAACUGAGAUAGAUGGGCAAGUCUCGUUCAUCUUAACCCUUAGAGGCCCGGAGAAUUUCUUUGUUUGAUUAAUCUUGAUCCACUUUCCUCUCACAGCUCAGGUGCCUCAGGAUAGGACCUGACUGGAGACUAGAUUUCUAACCCAUCAGGGCGUUGCCACAUUUGCCGUCACAACCACCAUAAAAAUAACAAAUAAAAAAAUCAAACAAUUAAGCUUCUACGGCCCUGAUCCCAUUGCUAAGAGCAAAGGUAUGUUUUUCCAGUCUGAAGCAGUCUGCAAGCCAAGGAGGGGGUCUCACCAGAGAAAGCAGCCCUUGGACAUCUGACCUUCAGGAAAAUGAAAAAGAAAUUUUGUCAUAGAGCCCAAACAGUACAUGGUAUUUUGUUGCAACAGAGGGAACAGACUUGUAGACUUGAGAAAACUUAAGGCGUCUUUCCCAGACUCCCUGAAACUGCAGUAGCACUGGCAACAGCUCUAAGAGAGAUUUCUGGAAGCUUGGCUCAUGAUCUAUUUCUUGGCCCCUUCCAAAGACUCUAAAGCCCAUUUAAUGCACAUCCCGAGUUGUGUUUUAUUUAAAAAAAAAAAAAAGCACCAAGGAUAUGUUUGAUAGAAGCUCAGUCAGUGAGAUGGGAGGGAUGUCGUGACGUGCCCAUGCGGAGUGUGGCGGCAUCCCUUCCUCCUGAGGUACCAGCCAUUCGAUGGGUAUAGUUAAAGUAGAGUUUAUUUAGGGCACGGGAAAGGGAGCUGAGAAAGGCGACAGAGAAAGCCAGAGAGAAAGGGGGGAGGGGGCAGAGAAGAGGAAAGGAGAGGCGGGCCUCUAUUUAACACACGGAUAGAGACGGGGAGGGGAAUGAGGAGAGAUGGAGAAAGGUAUCAGGGAGAGAAGAGAGUCAGAGAGAAUAUGAGAGUAAGGAGGGGCCAAACAACCCCCUUUACAGGAAACCAGGCCUACCUGGCUGUUGCCAGGUAUCUGAUGGGCAGAGCCUGGAAGGAAUGCCAACACCCAUCCCCCCAAAACUCGCAAAAGCAAAAAUACUCACGCCCUCAAAACAAACAAACAAACAAACAAAAACCUUAGUCCUAGGGCAGCUCUGAUGAGUUCUAGGCCCAGUUGAACCUGACUAGUGCAAAAGCUAAUAGGUAUUGAUAAGAAGGCUGCAGAACUGGGUGCAAGAACCAAUUUUGUAGCUGGGCAGAGAUGGUCCACACCUUAGUCCCAGCACUCAGCAGGCAGAGGCUGGCAUAUCUCUGAAUUUAAGGCCAAUCUGGUUUACAGAUCGAGUUACACAGAGGAGCCCUAUCUCAAAACAAACAACAAAAAGAAAGAAAAAAGUAUAUUUAAAAAUAAAAAAAAAGGUUGGUUGUGGGUAAAAAUGUCUGAAGUGAUACAGACCUUUGGUCUGCUGGCAGACAAAACUUUAACUUGAGUAUGGCUGUGUGGCACGUUAAAGGAGGCCAGGACUGGCACGUGACGCUACUGCUUUGAUUUAAUAGUGAGAGCAUGAAAAACCUUGCAGGGACCCCUGGGGUUCUGGGCUAGCUCCUUAAGAGGUGUACAAUGUGGGUUUUCAAGGUUACGUUCAUGGCAUUCUUGGAUGUGCCUGCCAGUUCCCAAGAGACGGAUGCACUCCUUCAGACAGUGAAGGGUCCAGGCCUCUGUGUUUCUCUGUAUGUUUCCUUAGUAGUCAAGGAAGCAUGGAAGCUUGACAGGACAUUAAUUAGACAUUAAUCUUGUGCACCCUGUAUAGUCUAUGAACAUUAUUGUAUCCUGGCAACCGCAACUGCGUUAAUCCUGGCAACUGGCACUACAUUCUGUUUCUGAUAAAGGUAAAAAGUCUGACUGCUUUCAAUAAAAUUGUCCAGCCUCAGUUUUCCUGUGGCCCCUCCAACCAUCCUGACUUAAUUCCUCAAGGACAUAUCAGGCAACCUUGACCUGGUGAGGAAACACAGGUGCUUAUAAAACCUGUUACUGGAAAUUUCAGAAAGGUUUCUUUAUUACAUAAGGUCAGGAGUUUAAUAAUGCUGUCAUCUGUGGAAAAUAAGAAUGAAUUGGAUUAUCUUGGUCAGGGAUUAUUAACUUUGCUAUGCAAAGGGCCAGAUGGUAUAUACCAUAUUUAAUGCUUGGGCCACUGGCUUCCCAUCACACCCAUUCAGCUGUGCCAUAGCAGCAAGAGAAGGGCAAUGGAAGCCAUGGAACUGGAGCAAGCAUACACAGACGUGUCACAGUGAAACCUACCCACCCAACUUCAUGGUCUUUCUCUCUUUUUUUAAGAUUAAUAAAUUUUUAAGAUUAAUAAUUUUUACUAAUUAAUAAAUAAUAAAUUUUAAGAUUUAUUUAUUUUAUAUGAGUACACUGAAGCUGUCUUCAGACACACCAGAAGAAGGCAUCGGAUCCCAUUACAGAUGGUUGUGAACCACCAUGUGGUUGCUGGGAAUUGAACUCAGGACCUCUGGAAGAGCAGUCAGUGCUCUUAACUGCUUAGCCAUCUCUCCAGUGCUCCCCUCCCCCCCAUAUUCUCAUUUUUGCUCGUUCUCUCUCUCUCUCUCCCUCUCUCUCUCUCUCUCUCUCCUUCUCUCUCUCUCUCUCUCUCUCUCUCUCUCCCUCCCCCCUCCUCCUCCUUCUUCCUCUCUCUCUCCCUCUCUCCCCCCCCCUCUCUCUCUCCCUGAAUCUAAUUUGUUCCAUCCAAAUAUUCUUAGACUUGCAGCCUGCUCUGAAGCAUGUGUCUGCCUACCAGGAGUCACAACCUUAACCAAAUCUGACACUCCCUCUCCUAGCAGCUCUCAGUGACCAGUAUUUCCUCAGAUAUGGGUGGGAUUUUGGGCUCAUCUUUCCCAAACCCUUGCUGGUAUUUUGUCUGGCUUGAGCUUCUCCAGGGUCUUGAUAUGCUGUUACGACGUCUAGAUGUUCAUAGGUGUGCCUGCCCUGUGUUCUUUCUCUUUUUAAUUUAUUUUUAUUUCGUGUGUAUAGCGUUUUGCCUGCAUUGUAUGUUUGCCUGUGUGCCGCGUGCAUGCAGUGGCUGCAGAGGCCAGAAGAGGGCAAUGGAUGCCAUGGAACUGGAGUUGCACAGGCUGAUUCUAGGUUCUAGAAACUGAACCCCGGUCCUCUGCAAAAGCAGCCCGUGCUCUUAACUGUUCAUCCAUAGCUCCUGGUACCUGUAUUCCUUUUUGUUUCAUUUUUACUUAUUGGGUGUAUGUCUGUGUAAGCAAGUGGGUACACAUGUCAUGUCAUGCAUGUGGAAGCCCGAGGAAAGCUUUGGGAGUUGGUUCUUUCCUUUGCCAUGUAAAUCCUUCAGACCAAACUCUGUUCUUCAGGCUGUAUGUCGGGGAGAGCUUUAGCUCGGUGGAAACUCCUCAGUUUUGUAUCUUCUGUGCCUGUAAACUCCGAAGAUACCUAAAAACUGAAAAAAAAAAAGUGAUCAGUGAGAAUGGAAGAUGUCAGAAAAGAGGUAUUAGGCAGGAUCAAUAGGAUCAAAGCACAUUAUACACGUAUGAGAAUCAUAUGAAGAAGCCACAGUGAAACUUCUUGGGUACACUUAAUAUAUUCCAAUGUAAAUUUUUUUCUAAACCUUGUUGGGAAAACAUUUGAGAAACCAGCUGAGCAUAUCUGAUACGGAUAUAAGACAGGAAUCAAAAUUACCAACUCUGUCAGAUAAAACCAGAUCAUAGAGAUGAUAGCCCACUUGCUAUGAUUAUUUACAUGAGUUUGCAGACCUUACAACCAAGGAGGAAAGCACCGUGAGCAAACACUGGGUGGUUGGGAAGAGUGUGGAGAAAGGGGAGUAGAGCCGGCUCCCACUUGCGGCCUAUCUAUCAUUUCUGCCCACUUCAGUUUUCAGGUGCACUAUGUCUUUGGACCAUCUCCAUGAGUAAGGAAUGAGGACGCUGGGAAUAUAGUGAAGACCAAGAGACUUCCCGGUAUUUCUCGGAAAUCCCUAGUGUUUUAUGAGUGUUUUUUCCUUGGGACUCAUGAACAAAUGUAUUCAAUCCAGAAAAGGCACCAAUGAUGGAUAGUGUAAUAAUUUCAACAAAGUCCACUUGGUGAACCAAAGUGUUGAUUGGGAUUACUUACAGAGCACGGGUGAAGAGUUAUUUACAGAUGCAUAGAUGACUCAAUCUGCAUCGUCUGAAAGCUCUCCCCAGUAGGUGACAACUCACAAAAGCUACUCUCCUGCUGCCCCCCCCCUGUGCAACGUGCAGGCAGAUUGCUGAUUGGCCAGUCAGGGUUCUCCUCUGCUCAGGAGUUCUUACUACUCCUGUCACCUAGGGGAGAGAGCUUCUGAAUCCAUGUCAGGAUCUUCCAGGUGUUGUUGCUUACAGAACAAAUACUCCAACUUGGAGAAAAUAACUACAAGCAACAGGCAUCAAGGACUAAGGAACAAAGGCUUUCCUAUGUAUCUAUAGUCCUCCUGAGACAGCGCUCCAUGAGCCAAGUAUCUGCUACCUAGGGUCUUAGUCAGGGUCCUAUUACUGUGAAGAGACAUCCUGACCAGGGCAGCUCUUAUCAAGGAAAACAUUUAAUUGGGGCUGGCUUAUAGAUUCAGAAGUUCAGUUCAUUAUCAUCAUGGCUACAAGUGUGGCAGCAUACAGAAAGACAUGGUGAUGGAGAGGAGCUGAGAGAUCUCCAUCCAGAUCAGCAGGCCGCAGAAAAAGAGAACACCAUGGGCCUGGCUUGAGCAUCUGAAACGUUAAAGCCCACCCUUAGUGACAUACUUCCUCCAAUAAGGCCACACCCACUCUAAAAAGGCUGUGCUUCCUAAUGGUGCCUCUGGAGGUUCAAACCAGCACAGUUUGCCUCUAAACACAAGAAUCUCCUAGUCUUACCUUCAAUUCACUUAUUCAGUGACUAUUUCCUGUUAACUGUGUUAAUACCUGCACCAAACAAACUGUUCAUACAUAUUGUUCUGGUUCCUGACAGCUGACACAGAGCACCAGGAGAGUAAGCUCUUCCUCUUCCUGGUCCUCACACGCAGUGAGAACAGCUGGAACUGCUAAUCUAGGUCUUCAGGGAUUUCCUUUCAGCUGCAGGUUACUAUCUGACUUGCAAGAAUUUAAACUAUAAUAGCUUUAUUAUUUAGAUAAGAAAUGUGUGUGGCAGGCGGUUCCAGGAGGGACCGUGAUGCUUUCUGGUGCCUUUGAGGGAUCAUGGCCUGUCCUUUGUUCCUUUCCACCAUCAUUGGCAUUUGAGAACUUCGUAUUCCAUGACUAGAGCAUGGCUGCAGAAACUCUUCCCAUCACAUCCUACCGCCAUAGCCUAUAAAGCAGGAAGGUAAGAGGGAGAAGAGGUUUCAUUUUCACAUACAUCUCUCCCAUUAUUAAGGAACAUAGUUUUAGAAAUUCCUAUGAGACUUAUGUACCGGUUACUUUUAGGUCAACUUGACAAGCUACAGUCAUCUGAGAGAAGGGAACUUCAAUCGAGAAAAUGUUCCUAGAAGGCGGGGCUGCAAGCAGACAAGCCAGUUGGGCAUUUUCAUAAUUAAUGUUUAAUGGAGGAAGGCUCAGCCCAUUGUGGGUUGGGACACCCCUGGGCUGGUGGUCUGGAGUUCUAUAAGAAACAGGCUGGGGGGUUGGGGAUUUAGCUGGGGGUUGGGGAUUUAGCUCAGUGGUAGAGCACUUGCCUAGGAAGCGCAAGGCCCUGGGUUCGGGUUCCAGCUCCGGAAAAAAAAAAAAAAAAGAACAAAAAAAAAAAAAGAACAAAAAAAAAAAAAGAAAGAAACAGGCUGAGCAAGCUGGGAGGAGCAAACCAUGAGACACAUGGCAGUGAGCAACACAUUCUGUGGUUUCUGCGUCAGCUCCUGCCUCCAGAUUCCUGCCCUGUGUGCGUUCCUGUCCUCAUUUCCUUCGAGAAUGAACAAUGAUGUGCAUACAGAAGCUACAUAAGCCCUUCCCUCCCCACAAAGGUGCCCUUGGCCACGGUGUUUCAUCACAGCAAUAGCUACCCUGAUUAAGACAGACUCCCUUUGUAGCUUACGUGCUAGGACUCACGUGCAGUCGCUGCUGAAGGGAACGGGAUCGCUCUCAUUGGCUCAAGCCAAUUAAUUGUGUUUCACCUUCUGGUGCUGAUUACCUAACUUUCCAACCUCCACAAGAGCCUCUGCUUCCCAUGAGCAGAUCCCAACUGUGCUAGUUUCCGGGAUUACAAGAAUGUAAACAUUGGGCAACAUGUCCCUCCUUAUCUUGACUAUAGAUUCCUCAGAGAUUUGCUAAUUUAGCACAUUUGGUUUUUACAAGCUAGCCUCAUACAUGCCCUUUCCCCCUUCUAGUCCACUCUGUGCUGUCAAUAUCAAACCAUGUUAAAUGGGGGGUAGGGGAAGAAAUUGGGAAAAAAUGCCGCACAACUUGCCAAAUGUUAUAAGAAAAAUUAAGAACCAAUUAUGUUGGCUCCAGGUAAACAACAGACUAAGUCUUUGGGAUAGAAUAGUCUCAAGAAUUACAAGGAAUUCUUUUCAGAAGAGCUCGGUUUGUGAAGGAUGAACAGGAGUCUAGUGGGGAACAGGACAUGGGACAAAGGGAACAGUGUUCACACAUCCAGGAUUCUGUGGACAUCUGUUGUUUGGAAAAUGGCCAGGAUUUCAGGGUUUGAGGAAAGCAUGAUACAUGACUAAGAGUGGAGGAAGAGAGGAGGAGAAGAUGAAAGAGGCCAGAUUUUCAUGGAAUCCUCUCAGCCAAAAAGAGGAACCAAAUCCAAAUCAACAGGUAACAGGAAUUCAGUUCAAUCCAGUUGACGCUUUCAAGUGUAGCUAGAGACGUGAUUGGAGGAAAUCUCUUUUAUAAUAGACUGUGUGAGGGACUUCAGGGUAGGCAGGGUGCCAAGGUUGAGCAGAGGAUAUGAGUUGCUGAGAAAGCUCUGAAGGAGAGCUUCAUGUCCCAUGAUGGGAGACAACCAGUUCCAUGAGGGAAAAGAUUGUGUCAGUGAUGACUGAGAUUUGAACCUUGGGAAACAAGCUGAAUAAUGAGAGUGCUUGCUAAAAUUGCAGACCAGGAAACACCCAGGCAGAGGACCCAUAUUGUGUAAAGCAGAGCACCUGCAUCCUGUACCUUCUGUACCUGUGCUUACUGAUUCACGGACAGCAUGUGGCUUCAUUCUGAGUUCAGGUACAGAGACAGGAUGACUCUUCUUGUUAUGCGCGUAGACAUCACCACCUUUCUAGCACCAUCUAUGAGGUAAGCCCUGAUAAAUAGUUUAUUCCUAUACUACCUUAUAAACCUAUCAGAAUAGAUCAGGCCAGGUGAGGACUUGGGUAUAUAUUAAAACCCCCUUGGGAAAAAAGAAAAACAGCCCCAAGAAUUUAUCUAAGGUACAACCCUCUCACCUAGAUGCUAUAGAGAAAAUGAUAUCAAAUGUCGUGAUGAUGAAGGUCCCCACUGAGCUGUCAUCUGGCUACCCAGUAUGUGCACCACCCAAUUGACAGGCAGAGGACUCCCAGCUAUCCCAGUGCUUCAGCCAGCUCCAUCCCUAUUGCUGACUCUGCCUACCUGAACCACAGCCUAUCCCUUGAGCAAGUUCUACACCUUGUCUCUGCAGUCAGCUCAGCUCAGAGGCCUGAAUUCAACCCAGGGACCCUGUGGUUUGGCAGAUUCUCCAAGAGGCCAACACCACUCCUUACCUUCUUCCCACACCUCACCAGCGACUCUCUUUGUACCUUUAUCAGCCUAUACCUCUGUCUGUUUUAAAAAGAUGUAUUUUCGAAAGUCUAUACAUGGACUGACCCAGGGCUCCAACUGCAUACAUAGCAGAGAAUAGCCUUGUUGGGGCACCAGUGAAAGGGGAAGACCUUGGUCCUGCCAAGGUUCAACACCCAGUGCAGGGGAAUAUGUGGGGGGCAGUAAGGGGGAUGUAUGGGUGGAAUACCCAUAUGGGGGAGGGGAGGAGAAGGGAUGGGGGCUUAUGGACAGGAAACUGGGAAGGGGAAUAACAUUUGAAAUGUAAGUAAAGAAAUGUAUCUAAUAAAAAUUUUCAAAAAAAAGAUGUAUUUUAUAAUCGAUCAUGUACUGGUGCACAUGUAUACAGGUGCCUGCAGAGGCCAAAAGAGGUCAUCAGGUUCUCCGGAGCAGGAGCUGCAGGCAGUGUGCUUGUCAGCGGGGCUGUGGGAACUGAACUCCAGUCCUCUGAAAGGGCAGCUGGCACUUGUAACUGCUGGACCACUGCUCCAGCUCCUCUUUUACUGCUUCUAAGGCCCCUUUAAGUCCACUACACCCUGUUGAGACCUCUUUAACACUUUGUAGCUUUCUUUAAUCUACAUACGUAUAUACAGACAGACAGAUAUAACCACUGUGUGUCGUCUGAGAGGAAAUGUUAAUCAUGGAGAUUGGAAUACAUAUUUCUUUUGUCAAUGCCAAUUAGCAAGGGAAAUCUUAACUAUUGCUGCCAGCUAAACCAACAUAGCUUAUAUGCUUAUUGUUAUUCAAUAAACUGGAACUUAUGGAAAGAUACAAAUGUAUCGACCUAUUUUCUUGCGUGGGGUCUUCAUGACAGUACCUUUUGAUUUUGGAAAGGUUUUUAAUGUUAGAACAAAGUCUUAGUCACUUUUCUGUAGCUGUGAAGAAACAUAACUAAGGCAAUUCUUAUAAAAGAAUGCAUUUAAUUGGGGACUUGCUUACAGUUUUGGAGGGUUAGUUCCCAUUAUCAUCAUGGUAGGAAGCAUGGUGACAAGCAGCUGUGGUCCUGGAGAAGUGAAUGAGAGAUACACACAUCCUGAUCUGAAAGUGGAGAGUCUCUCUGCCUGGCAUGGACACCGACACACUUCCUUCAACAAGGCCACGCCUUAAAAAAUCCUUCUCAAGAAAUGUCACUCCCUGGUGAUAUGAGUCUAUAGGCUAUUUUUAUUUAAACCAUCACAAACUAUGAGUGAAGAAAUACAUAUAAAUAUACCCUAUACAAUGGUUAGCAUUUCAAAGUACAAUUCUUCCUGGGAAUUUUAUUUAUUUUAUUUUAUUUUACUUUGAGACAAAGUCCCAGGUAGCCCAGUCUGGUCUUAUAUGUUCUGAAGAAUGGCCUAGAAUUUCUGAUACUCUUACCUCCAUCUCCUGAGUACUGGGAUUAUAGGCAUGUACUACCAUGCCCAGUUUUAUGUAGUGCUAGGGAUUGAGUGUAGAGCUUCAUGCAUGCUAAGCAGCCACUCUAUCAACUGAGCCAUAUUCCCAGUCCCUAUUUCAUUCUUUUUUUUCUUUUUGUCAUCCAAACUUCAUAGACUGUGGAGUUCCUUUUGAGGAUGAUAAUUUUCCUUAAUUGAUAAAAGUGAUAAUUACUCAAUUCUGGAAAAAGAACAAAGCUACUUUGUACAUUUUUUAAAAAUUACCUAAUUUUUGAGAUUAUAAUUACUUCAUUUCCUUUCCCAUUCCUCCCUCCACACCUUCUCAUAAACUCCUCCUUGCUCUGUCUAAACGUCAUGGCCUUUUUCUUCCAUUAAUUGGUGGUGGUGGUGGUGGUGGUGGUGGUGGUGGUGGUGGUGGUGGUGAUGUGUGUGCGUGUGCGUGUGCGUGUGUGUGUGUGUGAGAGAGAGAGAGAGAGAGAGAGAGAGAGAGAGAGAGAGAGAGAGAGAAUGUGUGUGUGUGUUUGACAGCUAAUAUUUUAUUCAGAUAGCAGUCUCAUUACACAUGGUCCAAGAACAUUCAAAUAAGAACUCAAAUGGUAGAUUAAAGAUUGGUCUUCAAAUAUCAAAGCCAACAAUGCCACGUUUGCCUAUGAUCUCUCUGAUAUAAAACCACAUCCACACCUCAGUGGCCACCAAACCUUUCAUCACAGCUUCCUUAACUGAAAGGUGUUUGAAGAUACCAGUUUUAUCAUUUUGAAUUAUUUUUUUUCACACUCUGAAUAGUUGUUCCCUUUGCCCACAAAUCCUUAAGUCCCACCUCUGUCUCCUUUCCCAGCCAUUGGUCGCUGCCAACUUUAUUUACUAAUCAAAACCAAUUGGGGGAGGGACCCUCAGCAUCUAACAUACAGAUUCACCUGCAAUUUUGGGAACCCAUUUAACACAAUACAAGCCUAAAUCACAGCACAGAAUGCAGAGAUAAUGCUGGCUCAGUAAAGUGGCAACUGUAAGUUCUCCUCCAAAAUACAGGACUUCACUAGCUUUGGCUAGAUUUCCAGUACCAGGCAUGAUUUCCCUUUUGCUGAGUGAGUCCUAAGUCCAAUUAGAGAAGGUGUUACAUUGUUAGUUUGUACAUUUUAAAAAAUUAUUUUUUGAGCUUAUACCAACAAGGUUAUGUAGGCUACUACUGUACCCCUAGGAUAAUUUUGCCACACUGGUCGUUGUUGUGGUUCAUAGGUAUCUUAGUUAGGGUUUUACUGUUGUGAACAAACAUCAUGACCAAGGCAACUCUUAUAAAGAACACUUAAUUGGGGCUGGCUUACAGGUUCAGAGGCUUAAUCCAUUAUCAUCAAGGCAGAAACAUAGCAGCAUCGAGACAGGCAUGGUUAAGGAGGAGCUUAAGAGUUCUACAUCUUGGGUCUGGAGAGAUGGCUCAGCGGCAGUGAAGAACAUCCAGAGGUUCUGAGUUCAAUUCCUAGCAACCAUUACAUGAUGGCUCAUGACCAUCUGUAAUGGAACCUUUUUCUGGUGUGUCUGAAGACAGCAACAGUGUACUCAUAUACAUAAAAUAAAUAUUUUUUUAAAGAGUACUACAUUUUUAUCUGAAGACUGUUAGCAGAGUACUGGCUGCCUAGAAGGAGGGUCUUAAAGCCCAUGCCCACAGUGACAAACCUACUCCAACAAGGCCACACCUACUCCAACAGGGUCAUAUCUUCUAAUAAUGCCACUCCCUAGGCCAAGCAUAUACAAACCGCCACAUUCCACUCCCUGGCCCCCAUAGGCUUGCUCAAACAUGAGUCUAUGGAGGCCAUGCCUAAACAUAGCAGAAUAAAAAAUAUUUUUAUUCCAACUUCCAAAGCACCCAUAGUAUAUAGAUAGCAUUCUCAACAAUGUUAAAAGUCCAAAGUUCAAGGCUUCAUCCAGCCAUUAACUAGAAUCCCCAAAGCAAGACAGGAAACCAGCUGGGCAAACUCCAAACUGCAUCUCCAUGGCUGAUAUCAAGGUAGUCUUCAGAGCUCCAAUUCCAAACGCCUUUCCCCUGGGUUGGUUCCACUCCCUGUUAGCAGCUUUCCUUAGCAGAUAUCCUAUGGUUCUGGCAUCUCUAAAUCUUAUGGUCUCUAAGGUAACUUCAAUUUUACAGCUUCUUGUUUCAAUGUCUGGAAUCCACACAUGAUCUUCUGGGCCCCUCCAAAGGGCUUGCUUUACUUCUCUAGCUCUGCCCUCUGUAGCACUCUAAGCUCAGGUUGAUCCACUCCACUGCUGCUGUUGCUGUUCUUGUUGAUCAUCCCAUGGUACUGGCAUCUCCGAUACUACUUCUAUUCCAAUGUAACUAGGCUUUACUAAUAGCCUCUCAUAGGCUCUCUUCAUAGUGGUAAGCCUCACAUCCUUUGCAUGACUCCUUCAGUCCUGGACCAUCAACUGCAACUGAGGCUGUCUGUAACUUCACUAAUGGCCUUCCAUGGCCUCUCACAGUGCCAAGCCUCAGUUGCUCUUCAUGACCCCUUCAUGCCUUCAAAACCAGUACCAUCCAGUACCACCUGGGUGACUCUUUACACACUACCAAGUCCAGCCACAGCAUGAGGUACAACCUUGGCUAUCUCUGGAACUCAGCUUCUUUGUACUCUCAGAAAACACUUCCAAGAAGAUGUUACCUCAGUGAUGCUGUUCUCUCCCUCUCUCUCCCUCUCUCUCUCCCUCUCUCUCCCUCUCUCUCUUCUCUCUCCCCCCUCUCUCCCUCUCCCCCUCUCUCUCUCCCUCUCUCUUCUCUCUUCUCUCUCCCCCCCUCUCCCUCUCCCCCUCUCUCUCCCUCUCUCCCUCCCUCUCCCUCCCUUAUUCUCCCUCUCUCUCCCCCCUCUCCCUUUCCUUCUCUCCCUCUCUCCCUCCCUCUCUCCCCUCUCUCCCCCUCUCCCCCCCUCUCUCCCUCUCUCCUCUCUCUCUCUCCCCCUCUCUCCCUCUUUCCCUCUCCUCUCUCUCUCUCCCUCUCUCUCUUUCCCUCUCUCUCCCUCUCUCCUUCUCUCUCCUCUCUCCCUCUCUCCCUCUCCCUCUCCCUCUCUCUUCUUCUCUCUCCUCUCUCCCUCUCUCUCCCUCUCUCCCUCUCCCUUUCUCCCUCUCUCUCAGAUUUAUAUGAGUACACUGUGCCUGUCUUCAGAACACACAAGAAGAGGGCAUCAGAUCUCAUUACAGAUGGUUGUGAGCCACCAUGUGGUUGCUCUUCUUAAUCACCACUAUUUUCUUAACUCCAGCUAACUAGCAUCAAUUGUCCUGGUACUCCCUUCUAUUUUUCACUCUAAAGCCAGAGACAUAUGACCAAAGCUGCAGAGUUCUGCUGCUUGUAGGAGCUGGAACAUGGCCCCCUUGUUCUAUUACAUUAUCAUUAACUUCCUCUGUUCCAACUCUGUCACUGCCUAAGCUUGGCUGACCUGGAUCUUGCUCUGUCGAUUGACCUUGAACUCAGAGAUCUGCAUGCCUGUACCAUUAUGCCUGGAUUUAAGCUUUUCUUCACCUAGAACUUGCUCUGUCUCAGGCUGGCCUUGAACUCAAGAUUUGCUUGGCUUUAUCUCCUGGGAUUAAGAAUGUGUACCACUAUGCCUGAAUCUAUACUUAGCUGGGUAGGAUCUUGCCCCAAAGUCCUAUUCCCCCUUUUUUUUAUUAUUGGUUAUUUUAUUUAUUAACAUUUCAAAUGUUGUUCCCCUUCCCAGUUUUCCCUCCACAAACCCCCUAUCCCAUUCCCUCUCCCCACUGCCUCUAUGCGGGUGCUCCCCUACCCACCCACGUACUCCACUCCUACCUUACUGCCUGGGGCAUCAAGCCUCCACAGGCCUUCCCUCCCAUUGAUGCCAGAUAAGGCAAGCCUGUCAUACAAAUAUUCAGGAGGUAAAGGCCAGAGGAUUAUGAGUUUGAAGUCAUUAAGUUCACCAAGAUACUGUCGCGGAAGGAAGGAAGGAAGGAAGGAAGGAAGGAAGGAAGGAAGGAAGGAAGGAAGGAAAAAGGGAAGGAAAGAAGGAAGAGAAGAAAGAAAGAAAGAAAGAAAGAAAGAAAGAAAGAAAGAAAGAAAAGAAAAGAAAGAAAGAAAGAAAAGAAAGAGAAAAAGAAAAUAUUGGAUAUUGAGUCAGAGAUUUCUAAAGGGACUAAAGCGGUACAAAUAAAACUUUGUUUCCUAGUGUAGAAAAAAUAGCCACAGUAUAAAUAAGGUCAAAGAGCAAAUCACUAAACUAGCAUAGAAAGAAAACACAGACAAGGGGUCAGAACUUCACUCACUAAAGCAAUGGUGUCGAGGAUACAACUAGGAGAGCAAUUUAAAGCGCCAAUAGAGAAUUAUUCUCUAUUCUCUAUUAUUCUGCAAAUAAUGCUGAAAUUCUGGGACAAUUUCUAUCCUCGGAUAAACAGAGAUUUAAAAAACACAACCACAGGCAGUUUUUGCCUAGCCUUGGGGGUGUGGGGGAGGGGACCCACAGUGCUGAGUGGGAAGGGACAGAACACAUUUUCUUAUCAAAAUCCCAACUCUUUCCUUUGCCAUAGCAGUUCAACUUCUAUGGAAAACUCUUCCGACAUAUAGGUGAAGCAGCUCUGUCCCCAGGUGGAACGUUCUUGAAACAAUUCACUAAGUGGGCAAAGUGGACCAUGGUAACUUUGAUGCACUGCUAGCGUUCUCUUGGGGAACUGAGACAGAGACAGAAUCUAUAUUCCAUAUUUGUGUAUGUGGAAUAAAUACCAGCAUUUACAUGUUGGGUAUAAGAUAUGGCAGAUAGAUGGCGGUUAGCCAUGAUCAGUAUUUCCUCCUCCAUUUUCCAAAAUCACCUCAACAGUAGUUUCAAACAGAGUUCCUAGAGUUUUAGAGGACCUCACGUGGCUACCCCAUUUACUAGAUCAAAGUAUCCACACAACCAGUGGGAUUUUCAGGAUGAUUUAACAUCUUGGCUGUGGGAAGUCCACGGAGCAGAGUCUAACCCUGAGCUUCUCUUCUGUUUGCUUAGAGAGCCGCUUUGCUUAGUGAUCCCAACUGCAUGGGAUUCUACACUGUGUCAGCAGGUGGCUCCAGAGGCAGCUGUUUGUAAGACUGCAAUGAAAGCUGUGUUGCAGAGCAAGCUGACCGCUUAAUCUUGUGGUCUGCAAACAUUUAAAAGAAAAAAAAGCAAUAUUGUGUAAGUUCUGUGUAACUCGGAUAAACCUGGAUGUAAUUGAGGAUUAUGGCCACAGAUACUAAUGUGAGUCACGUUACAUAAUUACAAUUAUGUAAUUAUGUGAAGUGUGUGUUAUUGUAUUAUGAGAGAGAAAAAAGUGUGCAAGAAAGAGAGGGGGGAGGGAAGGGGAGGGGAGGGGAGGGGAGGGGAUGAGAUUGGUUAAUUUUUCUAGGAGCUCCUUGGCCACAGAUUCUUUCACAGUUUGUUAGUCUCAAAUGUUCUCAGUCUAGUAUCCAUACCACUACAUGCCAAUCUCCUGCCAGACGUCAAAAGACCAAGAUAUGCAGGAAAAUUCUAACUCUUGGUGCCAUACAGAUCUCUACGCGGAGCCUAGGUCUCUACACACAGUCCUGGGAGAGGUGGGCACUAUGAUUGUCUUUUCCCUUUAUCUCAUAAUCAACCACUCACAAAAUCAACCCCAGCUCCUAGGAGUCAUUCUGAGGUAUGUUGGAAUCCCUACUUGGAAUCCCAUGGCCACUUACCUUGGUCAGCCCCAACCCCACUUGACACCCAGGUUAUGGAGAAGGAUGUGGGAAGGGCAAGAAUAUCCUUAUAUUUUAAUUGACCUUCUUCAAUAUUAAAUCAAAUGGUUGUGCGCACAGAAAGCUCACACCACUGUGCAGGGCACAGUGAUGACUGAAUAGGGGAGUUAGUAUUCAUGUGGAAAUGACCUGCAAACAACACCCCUGCCAGUGUGCACAGUACAACUGCAACGCAGCUGUAAGAGCCUUCUUCGUUGGCUGCUUGUUAGAAAUCAUCUUUAAUUCCCCCGCAACUAUUCUUCCUUCGAAAUUCCUCAUUAAAUCCCUUUCCUUUGAUCCGAGGACAAUGUUUUAGAUUCAGUGGUAUUCAUUUGUCUAAAAAGGUAUUUACCUCAGGGAAGCAGGACAUAAACAAUGACUGUAGGUCUGUCUCUAGUGCCCAGUAACUAUCUCUAGUACCUUGCUUUCAGGCUCUAAAAUGAAAGGUGAUCUCAGCCUCAUCUAAUGAUGUGUAAGAGUCAAUUUUAAAAAGCAUUUGUCAUGCUGGAGAGAUGGCUCAGCGGUUAAGAGCACCGACUGCUCUUCCAGAGGUCCUGAGUUCAAUUCCCAGCAACCACAUGGUGGCUCACAACCAUCUGUAAUGGGAUCUGAUGCCCUCUUCUGGUGUGUCUGAAGACAGCUACAGUGUACUCAUAUAAAAUAAAUAAAAAAAUAAAUAAAAAGCAUUUGUCUCAAAAAAAACCCCAGAAAAAUAAAACAAAAAACAAAAACCCCAAAAUCUAAUACCAGAAAAAAAGGACCAAAAAUGGCAAGUAAAUGAAUGGUUCUAUCUAAUUAGAUAAAGAAUUCCCUAGCAAUGUAGUCUGGGAGGCUCCACAGAAGGUACAGGAGCCUCUGGCUUAGUCUCUCAGCAGUUAGGGAAUGGCUGUAGACUCGACUUGGUAAAAAUCACAUGUUGAAGCCUGUCUUCCAGGGACACUGGAGGUAGAGCCCUUAGAGAGGUGGCGAAGUGUGGCAUGAGGAUAUAUGGCAGAUAGACACAGGGGACACACAUGCUCAGAGCAGAGACCAUGUGAAUAUACAGUCAAAGUGGCCUCAGGAGAAAUCAGCCUUGCUUGAUCCUGGAUUUCGGUCCUUCAGACUGUAGAAACACAUUUGUUACUUAGGUUGUUUUGUAAGCUCUUUGUUGUUUAUUUCUAGACAAGGUUUCUCUGUGUAGCCCUGGCUAUCCUGGAACUUUCACUAUAGACCAGGCUGGCCUCAAACUCCGAGAUCUGCCUGCUUCAGCUUCCUGUGUGCUGGGAUUAAAGGCAUGCACUACCAAACUCCACCCCACCCCACUAAUGUGUUUUGUAAAGUAGCACUAGCAAAAGGAGCAGAAAGGAGCAGAAAUAGGAACAACCCCCCAGAAGUGAAAUAUAGCUUUUCCACAAGUCAGAAAUGAUCCUGCUCCAGCACCAAUGUCACUGAGUCUCUCUAACCUGGCCUGGAUUCCUCAUGGUGCAAUCUGGGUGACUCUUAAGGACACCCACCCUAUUCCAGCCAGGCUCUGAUACCCGUUCAGUUCAAGUUUCCAUGAGCUUAUAAAGUUCACAUUUGGUCUCCCUUCACCUGAGACAUACCAGGCCUGACUUAUCACAGAGAAGUGACCACAAAGAGACAGACUUGGGUAAUACUUAGUUUCUGGUGUUUGAAAGUCAGAUUUGGCUACACGACACUAAGGACAUCCUUGGAAAACAUAUUGUCUGAAGUCCUCCAUCAAGUUGAGGGCCUAGAGCUCAGCCAGAGGGUUCUUCCUAUAGGAGACAGUGCAGGGAGUGGGUCUGGGGUAGACAAUGCUUUGCUGAAGGAGAAUACUUUUCUAAACGUGACACUGUCCGGGAGGAGCCGUUGGCAUCAUUUUCCAUUUGUUAUCUUGCCUAAAAAUUACACUCCAGCUACCUACUGACAUUUCAUCUUAGUUUUCAGGGUGUGUCUGAGUACAUGUGUGUUAUGCGUGUGUGUGGGGAUACACUUGUGAGUGCGAGCCUAUGUGAAGUCAUUAUCUGGAGCCCAGUGUUUUCCUCCGGUCACUCUGUUAUGAUUUGAGACGCUGUCUCUCCCUGAAGUUGGAGCUCACCAAUUGGCAAGACAAGCUGUUUGCCUUCUUCACUCACCCAUGUCAGGGUCAUGGGCCUGAAAUCAUGAGGCCAUGCCAUUUUCCCGUUGUCCCUAUGGAUCUAAACUCAAGCAUUCGUGCUUGCAUGGCCAGCACCUUACUCAAUGUCCCACUUCCCUAACAUGUUUCUUUUUUAAUCCCUAGAAGGUCAACUCCACGAAGCAGUUUUCUGCCCCGUCCUCACCUUUAUAUGUGGAAGACUGAACCCAACUCCCUACCCCAGUUCUUUGCCUCUUAGGUAUUACUGUAAUCAUGGAGUCCAAAAUAGUGUCUCCGCUCAGUGCUUAAUGCAUGCAUUCAGUUCUUCACUCUUCGUUCUUCCACUUCAGGAGAAAAAAGAAAUCAGUUUAAUCUGAGAGGACAUCAGAGCUGUUUGAAGCCAUUCACUGAUUUCCUCUCCUUGCAGAAGAAAUCCCAGGUCUGACUUUGUAAAGCAGCCUCAUGAAGACUCUAGGAACAGUUUCUGACUUACUACUCAUCAUUCUGCACGCCAUGCGCACUCCCAGCGAGUUCCUUCGUAAAUCUUACAGUGUGACAAUAUUCGCCAUGGCAUUGGCCCCUAAAUGUUCAGGAAAUGCUCAGGUGACACGGUGAGCUUGCCUGCUCCCAGCAGGCUUACCUCGGAAUGCCUCCCCAACUGUCCUUGUCACAGGUGCUGGUUUGAGGUGGGACUGCCCAAAUAUAUCAUGUCACUGAAGGAAGCAGUAUUUCUAUCUUAUCAAUCAUCUGAGGACUUUAUAGAUAGGAAUAGGAAUUCAUAGAUAUGAAAAGAAAAAGUCAAUACCAGAAAACAGUGCUACCACAAAGCCUGUGUACUCAGAUCACUUUUAUUUAGACAAUGUUGAAACUUUUAUAACACAGACACAUGCAAACAUAUGAACCUGAACACACAAAUGUGCACACAGAAAAUAAUCACACACAUAACAUGUAAAUCCAAACACAUCCAAACUUUCACUGCAUAUUCCCACACGUACGCACACACAUAAGCAUAGAAACACAUCUGAACUCAUACACAUGCAUGCAUACAACAGUCACAAACACAUAGACAAUACAAAGAUACAUAUGUACACUUAGCACAAAUACAUACAUGUACACAGACACAUGCACAGAUAUGCUUGUAUAGGCACACGUUUGCACAUAUGCAAACAGACAUCGCACAGAGUACACAGGCAUGAGCACAUACACAUGUGCAAAAUGCACAGUUUAUACAUGCACAUGCACACUCACACGUACAUAUACUGUGUGACAUAUACUGUCACAAGUAUCAAGUGAAGUGAUCCAUUUCUCUAGGAUUGGGACCAUCGGGCUCUUUAUUUGUAUUAGCAAAACAUGGUCAAACGUGUUCCUUGGAGGUGAAGUACAUGAUGAUGAUUAAGGUAAGGAAAUAAAACAGGAAGGAGAAGCUCAUAUCUCACAGGAACAUCUGCAGAAAACCAGGCUCACAUGCAGGGCAAGUUACUUGUUACUGAGGACCAUGACAAUUCUAUGAUGGAUCUCUUCACCCACGUGAAGAAGAAAUUUCUAAGUUUUGGGCAGCAGGGUGAAGGAACAAUCUCUUAUGUGUCUUUGAAGCAGUUUUCUGGAACUAUGUCAGCACAUGUACUCCACGGGGGUCCGUGUCAUGUGAUCCUCUACUACAAGCAAGCCUGUCCUAGGUCUGACUCUAAAAAGCACAUCCCAGCAGGGACAAUACCUAGACACACAGUUGCCUUAGCCACUGGUGGAAGCAGAGAGACAGGUGCCCUGCACGCAUGUGCACAUGCGUGCGCACACACACACACACACACACACACACACACACACACCAGCUAAAGUGGAAAGAGCCUUCAAGAGCAGAUGUCCUUUUUCUUUGGUAUUAGACAUUGUCUGUCUGCCCCCCUCUCGUGUGUGUGUGUGUGUGUGUGUGUGUGUGUGUGUGUGUGUGUGUGUGUGUGUGUGUGUGUCUUUUUAGAAAGGGUCUCGCUCCAAUGCUCAAUCUUGCCUCAUACUUGUGUCAAUCUUCCUGCCUCUGUCUCUCAUAUUCUGAGAUUACAGACAUAAGCCACCAUUUAUCUUUUAUCCUUUUCUCCUCUUCUUCCUCUCCUCUUCCUCCUCUUUGGCAACCUUUUUAGCCCUGUGCACAACAGUUCAACUUAGUAGCUGGCUACGUCUUUGCUUCUUGCUCUUGUGUCUGACAGUGACAGCACUGCAGAGCUGGGCCGAUAACGCUGUGCAUAGAUGAUGUAGCCCAAAACACAGAGGUCAUCUGGCUGCAGUGAGACAGGAAGACUAAAGGAAGAGUCAGAGGGGCCAAGCGGGCAACUUGGGUCUGCCUGCUGGAGAGCAGAUGGCUUGAGUGGCGUCAACGACCAGUGUCUGGGGCUUCUGCUGGGACAUGCAGAUAGUGUCGGCUAAGAAGGCCAUGGCAUUUCUAGAGUGGGGCAUUGAUUGCUCCUUGCUGACUGGCCUGAUCAGCGGUUUCCCAGGCACACUGCGGUUUCAGGGGUGACUAUAGUAUUUAUCAUGCCGAGAACUUGCUUUCUGCCCACCAUGGUGGAUGUGGAGUGCCAGGUGGCAAAGCUGGUGAUUCUAAGUAUCACCUUUUCUUUGCCAGAUUUUUAAAAAAUUUUUUAGUUGUUUUUUUUUACUAUUGUUAUAGUAACAUAACAGUACAUAACGAUAUACUAUUGUUAUAGAUUUUAAAAUGUUUAAACCAGUCACCUGACCUGGGACAGCAGGCACUGUAAAUUUCCUAUCAUUUCAUCGUAUUCUCAAACACACACACUACAGAAGUAGUUUAUUCAAACAGGCAAGGGCACAUGGAUAGGUUUAUUCUCUGGAAUUAGUCAGUCUUCUUUAGCAUCAUGACCUCGGUCCAAAUUUUACUGGUUUUUGCUGAAAACAAUUAACUUCAACACCAUGAUCCCUUCAUUUCAACAAUGAACACAGACUCCCUUCUGGUCUGUAUCACAAGGUGAUGGGCUCUCUGGGAACUCGGAUUCUGGGAAUUCUGAAGUGUUUGCUUGCACCUCGAAGCUUAUCAGUGUCCCCAGGUGACAAAGCCACUAUGUCAGUGUCUACACAUAGUCCUGGCUGGAAUGGCUUGUCACCAGCUUGUCUUCACCAGUGCAGUAAAGCCAUACCCAUCAUAGGUUCCUAUCAUCUCUUUUGCUUGAGAGAGAGAGAGAGAGAGAGAGAGAGAGAGAGAGAGAGAGAGAGAGUGUAUGUGUUCACAUAUCGGGGGCAAAAUUCAGUGCCAAGUGUUGUGCUACUUUUCUAGUGCUGAGAUAAAACACCAGAACAAAGACCACUAAGAGAAGUGUUUGUUUGAGCUUACAGUUCCAGAAGAAUGAGAAUCCAUCAUGAUUCGGAGUCAGGGCAACAGGCAGGCAUGGUGUUAGGAACAGGAAGCACACAUCUUGAAUAGCCAGAACGAAGCAGGGAGAGCAAACUCUGAAAUGGCUUGAGUCUUUAGGCUCCCAGAGUCACCAUCCAUGACAUCCUUCCUCCAACAGGGCCGCACUUCCUCAAGCUCCCAACAGCACCUUAACUGGGUACCAUUGAUGUGGAGGUGUCUUCAAACAUGGAAGACAAGGGACAUUUCUCAUUUAAACCAUCACAGGCGUCCACCCCCUAGACCCCCAAACUCGAGACAGGCCUUUCCCUGGGGCUCGGCAGUUCAGCAAGACUGACUGGGUAGUGGUUCUCCUGUCUCUGCCUCCCCGGUGCUAGGAUCACAGAUACACGCUACUAUGCCCACGUGGGUACUGGGGACUCACACCCAGGUCCUCACACUUCCAUGGGGAGCCCUUUAUGAGCUGAGCCAUCUCCCUAGCCCCUAAGGCACUCAAUCUAGCUGUCCUUGAAAAGGUACCAAGGGACCCAAAAUCAUCUCUCAAUGUAAUUGGCGGAGGUGGGGGCCGUGGAGGGUGGGGGUGCAUUUCACAACUGUUCAUGCAUUGAUGGGCUAAAAGAGGAUGGUCCUCUCCCAGUAAAGGAUAGUCUUCUCCCAGUUGUAUAGGGUAUCGCCCAACAGCUUCCAGCAUAAAGAACGAGGAGGCCAUUGAAGUCAUUUCCCAGGUACAUGUAGACAACUGACCAAAGUCAACGAAAGCUCACUGUGGGUUCCGCCGUGGAAAAUCCGCCAUCAAAGCCAUUCGAGCCUCAGAUAUUUGUCUUAGGAUUUCAAUUGCAGCGACUAAACACUAUGACCAAAAGUUAAGUUGGGAACGAAAGGUUCUAUACUAGGCUUACACUUCCAGAUCACAGUCCGUGAUUGGAGGAAGUCAGGACAAGAACUCUAACAGAGCUAGAACCUGGAGCCUGGAACUGAUGCAGAGGCCAUGGAGGGGUGCUGCUUACUAGCUUGUUUCCUAUGGCUUGCUCAGUCUGCUUUCUUAUAGAACCCAGGACCACCAGCCCAGGAAUGGCACCACCCACAGUGGGCUGGGCCCUCCUCCCACACUGAUUACUAGUUGAGAAAAUGUCUUACAGUAGGAUCUCAUGGAGGCUUUCUCAACUGAGACAUUCUCUCCUUUCUCUAGCUUGUGUCAAGGUGACACACAAAAUCAUCCAAUUCAGAUAUGGACAGGAAGGGAUUGUGCUUGUGUUUGCUUCUCAUGGUCCAGACAAGCUGCUGACCUCCUGCUGUGGGCUUUUCUGGAAAGGCCUAGGUUUUGGGCCUGAACUCAAGCUUUGCUGGUGUUAAAGGAGUAUCAGAAGUGCCAGAGAGAGUCCUGGGAGGAAUGCUGUAAGUGGAGUUGGUGAUUUUGGCACACCCAUGUAGGGACACAUACAGUGAGCCAGAGCUUCCAGGUGGAGUGUUAGAAAUCAAGAGGGACAAAGGAAAUUAUGACCAUCAGUCUGUCUGACGAAGCUAGUGCUGCCAGCCAGCACUGUUGCCAUUUCUAGAAUGAUAACCUGCUCUGACUCUUAAAAGAGCACAUUUUUACUCUGAGCUGCUUUCACAUUGCUUUCAUCUCGUGUUAAACCUCUACACCAGGAAUGGGAGGGAGUGUGUAUUAUAAAUGUGGUAACCUUUCAGUUACCACAGAGAGUGUUACUUGUUUUGUGUAAUAUUAUAAUCUCUUCCAGGUAGGCUUAUGGGGUAGAGAAGAUGGGGGUUAAACCCAGAGCCUCACGCACAGCGGGCAAGCACUCUACAGCAGACCUAUACCUCCAGUCAACACACAAAGUUUUAAAAUAGAUCUGGUCAAGUUCACAUGGAAUAUUGUGUUAUACCAGUGGCUGUCAACUAAAAAGUGAAUCUCGCAGGGAGAAUUAGCGCAGUGUGUUGUUUUCUAACAGUGACUGGGGAGAUGGGACUGGAGGUGGCCCCUGAUAUCUAAUGGUAGAGAUCACUGCUGCUACUGAAUGUCCUAAAAGUACAGGAUAGUCCCUCCCCCAGUAACGGUUAUCUAAUCCGAAACAGUGGGUAAUGGUGUUUGCUGCCACCCUGGACAGCCUGAGACUCACGCAGCCUCACAGGCAAAGCCCACACACAGUGGUAGAAGAGAACCCACUCCCAAAAGUUAUCAACCUUCCACACGCAUGCUGUGGCAUGUGUAAACACAUGUACACACUGUAAUAAGAAUCCCAGCUCAAUGUAAUUAUAUGGUCUUUGAACCAAUUUAAUCCACAUUGGGAGUACCGCAUAAAACGUAUUGUCUAAGGUCAUUUCCGUUUUGCUCUCACAGGACACUUGAGACUUGGAAGUUCAGUUUUGAAAAGUUUUCUUCAGCUAGAAGCUCCAGAAGCCCAGAAGGUACAAGAUUGAGGGGAUACAUCUGGUGAGAGUCUCUUGCUGUGCUCUAACAGGGCAGCUGGUGUAGCUUGGUGGACAAGCAAGAGCAGAGAGUAGGCAUACAUACUAGAGACGCAAAAGGAACCAUGCAUUUUCUGCUCGUUCUUUCAUUCUUUCGUUCGUUCACUCAUUCAUUCACCCAUUCAUUCAAGGGAGCCAUGCAUGCACACUUAUUUUUGUGUUUAUGUAUUUGGUUAUUUGAGAUGGGUUUUCUUUGUGUAUCCCUGGCUUUCUUGAAAUUUGCUCUGUAGACCAGGCUGCCCCACAAACUCAGAGAUCCACUUGCUGCCGAGUGCAGGGAUUAAUGGUGUGGAACCACUGCAGAGCCUAAGCCAUGUACUUUCUAGUAGUCCAGUUUCAGGGAAUUGGUUCCUGAGAGAAUUUAUGGAGUCUCCCAACACAGUUACAGUAGCAACCAAAUUUUAGCCGAGUUUUGGCAGGGACAAACCACUGUGACAAGUGUGUAAUACUGCAUGGAGUCGACUGGAAAUGAUUUGCAUAACAUCGCCUCUAUUGCUGGGCAUUAAAGGUAAGGUACUGGUGGAAAUAGCACAGCCAUGAACAUUAUGCACAUUUCAUAAUUUCAGCCAUUUCUUUUGAAUUAAUUCUUGCUUCUGAUGUUCUACAGCAUUUUGCAUCCACCACAGACAAGGAGACUUUGGUGUCCAGAGCUGCGACUGACAGGCUACAUUUGCAGUAUAUUAAGAUUCCACAAAUGCCCAUGUAGCAUAAGUCUAGGGUAUUAUUUUACAAAAGUAUAUUCAUUGAGAUCUUGUUUACAGUGACUUCUAAACACCAGGGUGGAUGUGUGUGUGUGUGUGUGUGUGUGUGUGUGUGUGUGCGCGCGCGCGCGCGUGCCCACACUCUUCGGUUCUCUCCUCCCACUUUAUCCUGAUCAUCAGACCUGAACAUCUGUGCCUGCUGUGCCAUGUUUACUCAGAUACACAGAGAUAGAGGGCCAGUAGCCAGAUGUGCAUGAGGGCAGUUAUGGAAGGCAACUCAGAAGACAGUCCUGUUCAGCCGCCUCUUCCUGGUGACUUCCUGCUCUGGGUUUGCCUCUGUCUCCCAGCUAUCUUCCUCCCCAACCUCCAAGGUUUCCGAGAGACCUUCAGAGUGGCCUGUCCUGCGUCAACCUCAGAUGAGUCAGUUCUAGGACCCUCUAUUGGAUAGACUAAAUCUGACUCAAUGAACCAUCUCUGCUUCAUGGAUUCAGAGUUGUGUCAGGGCAAUAACCAGUAGCUGUCACUCCAGACUCAGGAACAGAGCUAGGGAGAUGCCACAUCAGUUCUCAGCAUCUUACCUGCCCUGGGGUGGAACCUAGGCUCUUAAUCAGCCAGAUAAGGGUACAUGCUCUCAGCAUGCUAUACCCAAGCUAUGUCUUUUUCCUUGUGUGCAGGUAAAAGCAAGAGGCUAUGUUACAAACUUCUCAGUCUCACUCAUCUCGUGUUAAACCUCUACACCAGGAAUGGGAGGGAGUGUGUAUUAUAGAUGCUGGCAGCUUUGCCCAUCCAAAGAAGAGUCUUUGCAUUUUCCACACCUGUGUUGACUCUUCUCCAGUGUCCUUCCUCAUCUAGUCCCCACCCCACCUCACACUUGAGCCAUGGGAGUUGCUGAUUCCUCACCAACUGUCCAGUUAGUUCAUUUUCUGAAAAAAAGAUUCACUGAAAGCUCCGCCAGAACUGUGUCCACCAAGAAGCCUUCAUGUAGCAUGCAUGUGCACACAUAUGAGAUAUAUAUGUUUGCACCUGUGUGUAUAUUUGUGUGUACAUGUAUGUGUGUGUGUUCAUGUGUGUGUGUGUUUGAGAUGUGUAUGUUUAUGAAGGCACGCAUGCAUGUGGAGGUCAGAGGUCAGCGUCGGGUGUCUUUCUCAACUGGCUCUUUGCUUUGUUUUUUGAGAUGGGGUCUCUCCCUGACUCUGGAGCCCAUUGAUUGGCCAGCUAGUGAGUUCCAGGGAUCCUCUCACUCCACUUCCCACGUGUGCACCACUGUGCCUGGAUUUUACAAGUGCUGGGCAUCCAGACUCGGGUCCUCAUGCAUGCAUGGCAAGCGCUUUGUUGAUUCUGAAUGUCUCCAGCCCCUCAUGUAGCACUCGGGAACUUGUUUAGGCCUCCUCUGUCUCAUGAUGCAUCCCUCUGUUGGCAUGGAUAUCGUAACUACGCAAAGUACCUGUGUAUCAGGCCUUGGGCAGAGUGCUUCUGAUCUACAGAUCAGAAGUUCUCAACCUGUGGGUCGAGACCUCUGCAGUCAAAAGACCCUUCUGCGGGGGUCACUGGAGACCAUCGGAAAUCACAGAUAUAAUUCAUACGAUAUGUGGUUGUGGUUCAUAGCAAUAGCAAAAUUAUGAGGUAGCAAUGAAAGUAACUUUGUGGUUGAGGCCAUCACAACAUGAAGGGUUACAGCAUUGGGAAGGCUGAAAACCAUGCUGCAGGCAGACGUCUUACAAUUAGAAAGCAGUAGAAACCAUUAGAAAAAAAUUGCAACAGAGGGUCUCUGACCUUAAGGUAACAUCACCUUAGGGUUUGUCGCCUGACAUGGAUGUGAUGAUUAGUAAUGUAAGACACGGUGCUAACCUGUGUUUUCCUAUGUGUAGUCUCAGUUCCUCCCUUUCAAAGUUAUGUCCAUAUCAGAGCAAAGGUCCACUGAGCAAAUUCCCCACUAAUUGCAUAUUUUUCCGGAACACUUGCUUUGCUAGGGAAAAUGUUACUAUCCAGUAUAUUGGUGCUAAGGGGGCAGUGAGUGGAGGGGUUGGAUGCUUGUGGAAAAAGUCCACAAUAUGGAGAGUUUGGGUUUUGUUAAGAACCAGCCACAUAGAGACUAGGAAACUCCAGGUCACAUAGUUCAUUAGAGACAGACGAAGCGGUGGGCUCUGUUCCCACAGAAGCUGGCCUGAAAUGCCUGCCCUGGCCCACAACCUGUGCCUCGGUGAACAGCACUCACAGCAUAGCUCUCUAGCUCGGGGAUCUAAAUGACCUCAUCCGUCCUAGACGCCCCUCGGCCGCUGCUGAUCUUUUUGGGAAUUCCUAAAGACAGUUGCUCCAGAGUCAUUUAUUGGAAGCUUGGCCAGAGCCUUUGCAGUGUGGAGAUGCCUAACUUCUCCAAAAAUGUACUCUCCACCCCUAUCCUUUCUUUCCCUACACACCAUGCUCACCUCCUUUAUCUCUACCCUGGCCACCCCCACUUUCUCAAUUCCUGCACUCUCUACCCGCCUCUAACUACCCUUACCCUCUCCACCUGUACCCUCUCCGUCCCUACCCUCUCCAUCCCUUGGGGCAUAUAGUAAUUCUCUGCUGUACUCCCGUAUCCGGGACCACCGUACUGAGUUGUUUGCCUGAUUCCCAUUAAAUUAGAAACGUGCUGGACUUGGUGAAAGUGUCGUUUCUGAGCUGGGCUUCUGGGCUCCUCAUAGGUGUUAGCAAGUGAGUGACUGAAGUCCAUGUGUGUUGGGUGGGGUUUUUUGUUUUUGUUUUUUUUGUUUUGUUUUGUUUGUCAACUUGACGGAAGCAGGGGUCAUCUGGAAAGUAGUAACCUCACUCAGGUGAGGAACGAUCUCCACCAGAUUGCCCUGUAGGCAAGUCUACGGAGCACUUUAUUGAUGAUGUAGAGGGCCCGUUCCACUGUGGAUGGUGCCAUCCUGAGCAGGUAGUCCUGGGUGUCAUAAGAAAGCGGGUGAGUAAACCCCAGGAAGCAAACUCGUAAGCAGCACCCCUCCAUGGUCUCUUGUUUCAGUUUCCACUUCCAGGUUUUUGCUUGAGAUCCUGCCCUGGAUUCCUUUCGUGAUGGCCCUGUAAGGCAAUAUAAACUGUUUCCACCCCAAGCUGCUUUUGGUCUCGGUGUUUGUGUUAAAAAGCACAGUAGCAAGUAACUCAGGAAAAUAACAUGAAGGUCUGGGCUGGAAGAGAUCACUGAAACCGGAGGCAAACUGACAGGUGUUGAAAAGUGAAUGUGGCUGCCCAAGGUAGGUACAGGAGAAACAGUAAUGUGUUGUUGUUAUUGUCAGAUCACCAUUGUUUGAAGAACUCCAGAUGCAUCCCUUUAACAGGGAAAAUGAACGUUUACUCUCAAGGGGAGUCUGCAGCCUGGUGGUGAGGUGGUGAGGAUCAACAAGAGACAGUUUCCGGUUGUGGUUUAGUGCAGAAAACAAAAGCACCAAGGAGUUUGAGAACCGCUGGCUGGCUGGCGUGGAAGGUGAAGGAAGCCGACUUCCUGGGGGAGGUGACACCAGCUGACACGAUGGGGGAGGGACUGGGCAGUCCAAAUAUCCCGAGUGCAGAGACGUGGAGGCAGGAAACGCACAGUGGAGUCAGACCAAGCAGGCAUAUCACAUCGUGGGGUGCAGAGGGAGAACGAGGCGGCCGAAGAGGUCAGAUCACGGAGGACAUAGACGCCAGGGAAGGAGCCUAGGGACUACUGUGUGUACACUGGAAAGCCAGCAGGGCUUUGAGGGUUGCAAUUUGUGUGUUGAAAAGAUCAUCUGGGGCAGGAGUCAAAGCCCACAGGGGGUGGAGCCUUAUGUCCAGAGCGAAUGGAGCCAUCCAAUCAAUUUCCGAGGAGAGUCGGGAACUAAAACAGGAGCCCAUGGCUGUCAGAAGUGUACAGGGUUUUUACUUCCCAGCUGGCUGAUUUUGCAACCGUGUGCUCUGAAAAAUCCUUAGAGGUUGCAGCUCUGUUUUGGGAAGAGUGUGGCAAUGAGGUAGAGAAAGGGUGCAGACUAGGGGGAGGUUGCAGGCAGAGGGACAGAACACUCACCAAGUCUCUGGGACUGCAGGGGGAAAAACAUUGAGUACCAGCAGGUUUGGACUUGAGAAUCAGAAAAAGCCUGAGAAGCAAAAAGGAAGAGAGAAUGGGAGCUUUUGUAUCUAAUUACACCCAUUUAGUUGUCUAGGCAGCCCCUUUAUCACGCUGCACUUUGCAGCUCAGCUCUUUCAACAGGGUCUAAUUACCUUGCCUAAUUACCACCUUAACAUCACUUACCCACAUUCUCACUCUUCCCUUGAUUCCCACAGCAGGGCCCUCUGUGGACAGUGGGGUUUUAUUAGCAACUUAAGAUGCCACUAUGAAAAGCGAGCUUGGGAAAGAGUUGUAUUCUAGGUGGAAAGUACUUGGUAGAGCAACCCAUACCCCCCCCCACACACACACACAAUUGGGGCAGUUGUAGAAGGGAAACCGAUGUGAAUGAAAGCAGAGAACCAUCUGAGACUCUGAUCUUAAUUUUUCCCAGCUCCAGAAUACUGUUCUGCAUGUUUAAAGGGGUUUUUCUUUCUUCGAAUUCAAGUGCGUAAAUGCUGUGCUCAGCAUGCCAUACCCAGCCACUGUUGGGAAAUAAUUCUGCCGGAAAGAAAUAGGCCAUACGGCUAACCGGCUGAACAAAAAGUAGGUCAUGGCUGUAGCUCAGGACUGCUGGCCAGAGCCCUGGAGCCAAAAGGCAGCCAUCUGCGAGGAGACAAGACAGUGUCUGUCCUCACUGUGCAGGUCCAUUCUAUUCUACUUCCUGCCAUGAGCCUGCAAUAUGACACUUAAUCACUCCUAAUGUUUUGUCGAUAGGUACCAUCUAAGUCCUUUUUGUUGUUGCCUGGGCCAAGAACUGUUCCCCAAGAUUUCUUCCUUCCACACACAGGGUAGCUAGGUCCUACGUGGCUAGGAAGUUGACAUAUCCAGGUCUCCCAACAGGGCUCUCUGUUCUUCUUUCCCAUACAAUGAAUGACUCUUUAGAUGGACAGAAGUCUCACCUGAAGAGCCACCCUGAUUUGAUAACAUCUGUUCAGUUCAAGAAUCAUGGGUCUACAUAAUUCUUUUAAUGAACAAACACAACGUUUAUCAGGCAACUGCCCGAAAGCUUGCCUCUCAGACAAACCAUGUGACACCUGUGUGUUUCCGUCUCCUCACCGGCAGUCUUGGGAUGACUUUGAAGGAGCUAUAUCAGGGACUGACUGGGAGGUAAAAAUUGGCUGAUUGUCGGAAAUGCUGAGGUCAAAGCUGGCCCAUGGGGAACCUGUACUUUUGUGUUUUCUUCCUGUCUCCAGAAAGCUGGACACACAACAUACAUGUUCAGGUGUCUCCAGUGUUUGAGAAUAAAUAUCCCUUGUGAAUGUUCAGGCAGAAACAAACCACAUGGAUCCCUUUGUUAGACUUGCCUAUUUGUAUCCGAAGAGGGUGGGGGAGAAAUCCCAUGACUUAAAAUUUCCAAUGAAGUCACUGGAGAUUUAAGUUGAACAAGCUUUUCAAGAACAGGCUUGAAUCAGUGCGCUUGUUGCACCACCCCCCCCCUUUUUUUGCAAUCUCUCGUGACAUUUGUGACUUCCUACCCCUCAGCUGCCCACCCUGCUUCUGGAGGAAAGAUGUUUCCCCCAAGAACACCUUACUCAUCCACUGACCAGUGGACAGCAUCCAAAUGUGGCCCAAGGGAGGGAAUCUGGUCUGUUCAACAUGCAGGCUCAGGAGGAACGGCCUGCGAGAGGGACUUGAGAAGACUUUCCUUGUCCCAACUAAUGGGACCACUUCAAAAGACAGAGUUUGAGGACUUUUUUUAAAAAUUAUUGUAAGUCUUUGUGGUGUGUGUGUGUGUGUAUUUAACAGCAUAGAUGUGGAGGUCAAAGGAUGACUUGUGGACCGGUUUUCCCCUCCCACCAAGUGGGUCUUAGGAAUCUAAGUCAGGUGGGCCUUUUCUACUGAAUCAUCUCAUCAGCCCAAGUCUGAGGAUAAUAUUUUAAGACACAUUGUCUACCUAUGGAGCAUGGUUAACAGCUAUAUGCAUAGACAUUGUUUUCUGUCUACUCUGGAGACAGCACCCCUGGGUGGAGGCAAUGGUUGAAGCCUGUGACUUGGAAUAAGGAUCUGGAGAAGGAGACCUCUGGGAGUUGGUCAUUUGGUGCUGGAUGAAAGGAGAGGGGAUAGAUACCACUUCCAUGUCACCAGAGAGCAGCAGGGAUGCUCUGGUUGUAAUUCAGGAUACAUGAGCCGUGGGUUGAAGGUUGUCAGUGACCCUGGGGUACUUUGGGGAUAUGACAAGUGACAUCUCGUGACAGCUUCAGGUAACAUUUUCCAUAGCACAUCUGGAGACAUCCAAAUCUAUCACCAGAGCUGAAGAAGAGUCCCAAUGAGCCACAUCCCAGCUGCAGACUGCUACUGUGCUGGGGCCCAGCAGUUCCCUGAGCUGCUCGCUGACAUGCUGACACGCAUUGUAAGUGAGGAAAGAAGUUCCUGAAAUGGGCCCUUCUGCACCAGCCUGUAUUUCCUGACUGCCAUGGGGAUGAGACCACCUCUUUAUAUCAGCUCAAUGUGGGACAAUCAUGAAGGGCAUUUUUCCUUCUGAGUUCAUUCUGGUGUCAAUGCCAUAUGGGCAGUGUAAGGGAGACAUAGACAUGGUCAAGGUCUUUCUCAACUUCUCUUCACUCAUAGCCGCUCUGCUAUACUCCUGACCCAAAACCAAGUACACGGACCACAGGACAUGACAGAAGAAACAUCGGAGGCUUCUUGAUGAUUACCUGGACCAAGAAGCUUUCCUCUGAGGCUUUUUCCUUCCACACAGGCCAUGGUGCCUAGGACGAUUGACAUUUAAGGCAUCCAUCCCUGUGACCCAUCUCCCUCCCUCUCUCUGUUUUCUCUGUCUCCUUUCCCUCUGUCUUUCCCUCUUGUAUUAUGCUUCUUUUAUUUUCAUCAUGUGUACUUGUGUCUGUGCACAUACAUGGUGUGAGGAGAAUCAGAACAGAGAGACAGAUCCCCUGGAACUGGAGUUACAGGCAGUUACGAGCCCCCGACAUGGAUGCUGGGAACUGAAUAUGAGUCUUCUGGAAGAGCAGCAUGUGCUUUUAUAACCUAAGUCAUCUCCUCAUCCCUGUGUUUCUUUUUAAAAGGUUUUUCAUUACAUUUAUUUAUCUUGUGCAUCCCAAGACACAGUACACGUGUGCAAGUCAGAGGACAACUUGCAGGGUCUAUCCUCUCUCUCCAUCAUGUGGGUCCUGAGAUCGAACUCAGGUUGUCAGGCUUGGCAGCAAGCGCUAUGAAAAAUAAUAAUGAUAAAAAAGACAACCCUACUGAGCCAUGUCACUGACCCUUACUAUUGAGUUUCAGUGUAAGUUGUUGACUCAAAGACACAAACAGCAAGAUUCAGAGAUGAUGUUUUAGGAAGUACUGGUUAGAUGUUGGGACAUAAAAGAUUUAAGAACUUUGGCCCCCAGAAUCACUCCAGGCCCCAAAGUGUGACCCCCCUGGAAAUGCCAAAUGCAGCCAUGCCCCGCACUAUUUCUUGAAUAGCAAUGGGAGUGAAUAGAGUACAGAGUGACACCCAUCCAACUUCUAUGAAUGUGUGGCUCCAUCCGACCAAUCUGGACUCCAUUUGGUUUCUAUAGUAUCCUUCUAAAAUCCUUCAUCAUUGUCUGCCUGGACCUCUGGUCUAGCUUUGGAAGAUAUAGCAUCAGUUCCCAAAGAGCCUAGUGCCCGAUAAGAGCUAAAAAAAAUAUUUUUUAAUACAAAGAAAUGAGUCUUAGACUGUGUUGGCACAGGUUAAAUUCGGCUGUGACAACAAAUGGUGAGCUUGCAAUCUCAGAGGCUCCCAGCACAGCUUGGUUAAUCAACACAUCCCUUGAAGUUGGCCUAAGCUCAGCUUGCAAUCCUUUUUGCUGUGGGACCCUCUCGUGGCUAGCAGCAUCUAGUCUAGAUGGUCCAUUGCAUGGAGGGAAAAAACAACAGUGGAAAGAAGGAAGAACCAGCAGCUGCUGGCUCACACCCCAUUGGCCAAAACAAGUCACAUGAUCAGGCCUGACAUCAUGCUCAGCAGUCCUGGGCAGUUAACAGUUAACAGUUGGCAGUUAGUGGUUGGCACUCUGUCACAGUGCAGCAGACCUAAGGGCUGGACACCGGGCACAGGCAGAGGGGCAGGAAGUCAGGAGCACCCUGGAUCAUCUCUUGGCUUAUUUUACUAAGACAUUUUAAUUGAACCCACCCUUUUUUUCCUUCCUGAGCUAAUAUAGCAGAGAGGAGGGAGUAGGCCCAGUCAGGUCUAAAGAUUUCUUGUUCUUGAGACCCACAUAGAGACUGUGGUGAACUGGGAAGCAGUUUUGGUGCCAAACCUCAUGACUGUAGAGAUACAGGGGCUCUUUAUCUUGAAAAGCAGCUGGGUUUGAAGUCAGCUAACUUGGGUUUGAGUCUUUCUCAGGUCCAGGAAGGACCAGCUUUAUAAUCUUGAGUCAUUUGCCCUCUCUGAAUUUUAGUUCGAGUUGUAAAACAAGGUUGGUUGUGAGAAAGGGAAGCCACUCUGUGAGUGGGAUUGGGGGGCCUUCACACAUUCACCCUUUAUGAAAUGUCUUUUCCCACCAAUUAAGAAGCCGUAAGGUUCUUCCAUUGGCAGGGAGAUAUAAAUGCAGACAAUGUAUUGGCAGCAGCCAAUGAGCCGAAGCCAGUAAUGAUCUAAAAGACUUUUGUUUUUUUAAUUCUUUGAAAAUUUCAUACAUGUAUACAAUGUAUCUCAGCCAUCCCGAUCCUGGCCCCCUCACCCCCUCCAGGACCAUCCCCCUCACAUCUUCCACCCAACUCCAUGUCCUUUAAAAUUAGUUUAUUUUUUUAACCUAUUGCAUCAAAUUUGUGCUGUCCACAUGCACCUGGGCGUUGGGUCUCUACCAGUGGCCUUACCUUGGAAAGAAACAUGUGUCUUCUUUCCCUGGUAGCCCUCAACUGCCAAAAGCUCCUUGGGUGGCAUCUCCAGAGGCCCUCCCUUCUCCAUUCUGGAAUUUUUCGCUGGCUUGAUCUUAUGCAAGUCCUGUGCACAAGGUAACCAGAGCUGCUGUAAGUGCAUGUAUACAACAGCCACAUUGUCUGCAGUAUAGCAUCUCACAGUUCUCUGGCUCUCGCAUUCCCCCCAUCCCCACUUCUGAGACAUUUCCUGAGUCUGGGAAUGGGACAUUAAUAUAGAGACCCCCGCCCUCUGCAGCUGAACACUCACAGUUGCUGAUUCUCAGCACUUUGAACAGUAAUAAGUUUGUGAUAAGUCAGUAAUAAGGGAUUACCCCCAAAACAUUAACUCCUACCCACUAUAAUAAAAUGCUUCUCUGACCAAGACUGGGAGCAGCGCAAAUCUGGUAGAGGGGCUCCUAUACAAUGUAGUCUGGCCUAAGCAGGGAAAGACAUACUUGGUGCAGGAGGCUAUACAGGCUGGGAUCCUGGAGAAAAAAUUCCCAGUACCUGUGGGGAUGGGGUGAUGCAGGACGCUGUAGAGUGGCUCCUGGAUUGAGGCUCUCUGGAGAUGUAUGUGGGAAGCUAGGUUCCUCUACUUGGUUCUAGAGGGUAUGCAGGCUAGGAUCCUGAAACAAACUCUCCCAAGGCCGAGUUUCAAUUGUAAGUGGAAGACUCAGCCAUCAGACAAGUGCCUUGAAAUAAAGGUGACAGUCUGUUUCUACAGAGGCGGCUGCCAUCCUGUAAAAGAAUGAGAGGCAUGUUAGAGGGACAAAUGCCUCUCGAAGGUAGGACUUCUGUUUAUCUGGGUGACUCAUUAUUCUAGCGUGCUAACAAUGGGAUAUAAAUGUACGCAAAGGUUUCUGGAAAUUUCACGGUUGUCCAGUAUCUUAAUGAUGGAUGAAUCUUUAGCAAAGAUUAAACCCAGCCUCUUUUAUGGAAAUGGUGACUAGGAUCCACAGGAGCCAAUCAGCUGUCCUUACGACAAUUUGCUAGGAGAAGCAUUAAUGUCUAAGAAGCUGUUCAGGUAGAAGACUUCACUUUUACCCUCCUUUCAUUUGAUGACCUGUGCCCAUUAAUCCCUUAAAAAUUAAAAUUUCAUUUACUAUUCAUCACGGAACAUUUCUAUUUACUAUUUGCACGUAGCCCACCAAAACAUAAAACUAUAACACUGAAUUUUCCCAGACAUUUAAACAUUCAUUACAGAUUUGUAAUCAAGCUCUCAGAUAAACAUAAUUAGCAUUGCACCACCAAUAAACCAGUCUUUUAUAGACACUACACACCUCAAAUGGCAGGUGACACUCACACAGAUUGUGGCGUUAAUUACAAAACGUCUGUCAACAAAUGACUUCAUAAACCAGAGGGGAAGGUCAGGCUCCCGAAUCAAGGACUUUGAUUGUUCCCCUCCCCUUCCUGUGCCAUGAAGGAUUUGCUGAUGCUGCUUUGUGGCUUGCGCGAGGGUAGUCAGGUCAGUCUACGAACAAUAGUUUAAAACCAAGUGCAUGGGUCAUUGGCAUACAUUGUUCCUGAACUGGUGAGAGAGUGCCAAAGUCAGACGAGAUGAUGGCACAGUAGAAAUGAGUUCAUUGCCUGUUGCUGCCUUAGCCCCCGAGAUAGCAUUUUCAGCGGGGCAUGUAUUUUAGGAGAAAUGGGGUGGGGUUGAAGGUUACACUGUGGACGUGUUCGGCCAUACAUCUAUCUAUGUGUGUAGUAACGUCCUUUAUCACUGACUAGUCCUAUCAGGGAUUUUACAGAGACGGAGAAGACACCACAAAUGUUGUCUAGACCUCUGCCUAUUUUGCAGCUGGCUGGAAAGCUAUGUGACACUUGCUUUGCUAACAGCAUUUUAAAAUAAGAGACCUUAAAAUUCUUUGUGCUUUUCAAAUGUUUGCUCUUUUAUUUAAUGGGUUUUUGCUUUCCUGGAUUGCUGUCAUUUUUUUUUUUUAUAGGCGAUGCUUUCUAUGGCCUCCCAAGUAGAAUUACUAAAUUAACAGAAGUCCCCCGGAGAAGCAAAUACGCAUGCAUAUUUACUCAAGACUGCUGGGUUUACAGGUUCAGAAGCUUUGACACUGGCCAAAUGGCUGGGUUUUAGUUUAGGAUGGCCUCGGAUUAUACUAUCCCAACAAGGUGGGCAUGAACACCCCAACCCCACAGGAGGGUACAGAAAUAGGUGCUGCCUCUUGUGAAAGCCACCUUGGGGUCCCUUUGAUCACAUCUCAUUUUCAGGGGGAGAACCUGGCCACCUUUAGCAGAAAAGGAGGCUGGUAAAAGGCUGCCUCAUGCCUAGACCAGAAUCAGAUGCCUUCUAAAAGGGAGCAGGUAACACUGAAGGCAUCUAACAGUGUCUCCUUAGGGUACCACAUAUCUGCGGGUCCACCCACUCCCACAGACAACGUGUGCUCUCUCUUCAGGGGAGUCAGGUUUCAAAUCUGAUUCAGCCAGGUGGGCUCUUCAAGCCAUCAGGUCAGGGCCAGGGUGAGGACAGACAAAGCUCACUCUCCUGACAUACUGCCAGCCCUGGGCUCCCUCACACCCAGGACAUGCUAGCAGCAGAGGAACUGGGGAGCAGGAAUCAGAGAGCAGGUCAAAGGGAAUGUCAUGCCUGUCAACCACUGGUCCUCAGCAACGACCUGCAAGUUCUGCUGGCCAAGAACCGGAAAUGUGUUCUUUUUUUCUCUGUCAGCAGGCGAGUCUCUUGGUCAACUCAUGUGGCAGUCUUGACUGUGCUUUUUAGAGAAGCCUCCCUUGGCUGUCUUUUAGGAUGCAAGGAUGCAAUGAAGGUGAUGGUUCUUCUUGGUGGUACCAACUAGUUUGUUUUUUUUUGUUUUGUUUUUUUUUUUCUUUUUUUCUUUUUAAGCCUCUUCCUCCCAGUAUAGGCGGGGAGCACAGGCAGCUCUCUAAAGGUCAAGUGAUUUCUCAGGUCAGACUCAUGGUUAGUGUCCUGGACAAUAGGAAUCCUCAGAGCCUUUAAAAACAUUUGCUUCCAGUCCGUUUCAUGUACAAAUACCUAUGGACAAGAUCUGGUUUAGCAUGGUUUGUGCCUAAGCCACCUCCCUGCUCUUCUUGGUCCCCAUAUCUCAGUUGAAAGCACAACUGUCUUCUGUCCUUUAAGGCUUGGGGUGGGAAAGGAAUACCCUUGACAUGGUCUCUUUAUUUACUGAUAGUCUUGCAGAGGAUUCUGGGUAAUAGCACACAGGCAAGACCGGAGGACGAAUGAGAUAUUGCUAUUAUUAUUUAUUAGACUCUCCUGGAAGGACUCAAACCAUGGUGUCAGGACUCCUCUCUUGGCUGUGCUGCCUCACAGGUUAAGCCUCAAGAAUUCAGGCAGUUGGCACCAAUAUCCCUCCAUGUAAGGAAUCCUUUGCUGACUAUUGUGGAAGAUAUAGAUAGCAUCAGCAGCCAUACAUAAAGUCUUUGGGAAGUUUCUGAUUGGCCCAGUUCACAACACCAGCUCACCUCUGAGUCGGCAAUUCUGCUCAGAAUAAGGUGCUCUUUGACCAGUCUGGGUAUCUGCCCGCCGUCUCUUAGAGAGUCAUGAAGGACAGUUGAUCAGGACCGCAUGAACGUGAAGUGCAAGAGAAAAGGCACUUUUUUUUUAAUUCCCCAAAGAAAUUAAGACAUGUGCUAUCUGACAAGAAAGGGAGCAACGUGACCCUAAGGGCAUGUGGCCACCGAGUGGGCAGAAAUAUUUGCCGGAACCUAGAAGGCCUAGGACACCUGGGGGCGGAAAUACCAAGGAAAACCCUUGUUUGAACAAUAGGAUUUGCUCAGCCCCAGGUUGUUGCUUGCUAAGUGCCCUGAGACAAGAGUUCACUCAGACCAGAGAGGCUUGAAUGAGACCUACCUGGCAGCAGAGAAGUAUUCAUUCUCUCCUGCUCAGAUUUGAGGUUAGUCACCAGGGCUCCAGCAAAGAGAAUGGAUUCUCUUGCUCCUCCUUUAUGCCAAACAAGUUCUCCUCCUGCUCGCUGGCCUCCUCCCUCAGAUCUGGAUAGUUAGCCUCCACAGCACCCUGAGUGUAGAACAACACUCAUGAGCUAGGGGCACUGGGCCUGGCAGGAAAGGAUGAAAAGGCCAGCAGCCUCCACAGGACCAGACAGACACAUUUGUAUGGAGGAGGGGACGUUAGCCAGCCUCCCUCACUUCCUCACCUUAGGGCGCCCUGCCCAAGGAGGCUCCCAGAAACAGCGCCAGAGAAAUCUCCCCCCAGAAAGGGACUGCUGCGUUCAGGCCAGGAAGUCCACCACAGACAGGUAUCCUGUGGUUUCACUUUCAAAUUCCCAAUGCACCGGUUCCUAGAACUUUCGAACAUGAGCUACCCCCAUCUCCGCAACUGCUCGUCUCCCCAGCUGAAAAGCUGUGUGGGGAGGCUGCUCUAGAGACAUUUGCUUCUUUAAAAACGUGCUCCUCCACCCGCAGCCCCCGCACCCCACUGUUUCCUUGAGACCUCAUUUUGCUCAGGUUUUCCAGAGUUUUAACUCAUGGUUUUUCUACUCUUGUUGCCAGGAUGAUGGAAAGGCUGAGGAAAAGUGAUUCUGAGCGCAGGGCUGCUUGGCCCCGCCAUUGCUUCCUCUACAAGAACGGGCACACAAGCACCCUUCUCAGGGCAGGGUCUCCCAAGCUCUGGCUCCUGGGGAGGGAGAGGACUGCACCAGUUGCUGGACUUACUUCCUGUGGCACCCAGGCAACGUUCCCUCUCAGUCACACCACUCUUGGGGAAAACAGACCUGGAAAUGCAUCUGGAAAUGAGCAGUGACUCAGGGUUCUGGACAAUAGGUGAAUCUAGACAUGUCGGGUGAACUAAGGUUACAGUGCAAAAUGACUAGGAACCCUCGUGCUUUUUUAUCUCCAGACUCAAAAGCCUUGUUUAUUUAUAGCCACUGGUAUGGAGGCCGUGCCCCUCAUCAUCUGAGCACCUGUGAUUAACUGGGGCCACCACAAGACCUCCCUUUACUCAUUGUCUUCUGUUCUGUUACCUUGCCAUGCCUAGUCAAGAUGUGGUCUGUCCCACCACCAUCUUGAUGCAGAGUGUGCCCAGGCAUUGCUUUGGUUGGAAUCCAGUGGGAAUGACAUCAUGCCACUGGAAGAUUUGGCUCUCCAUGUUCUGCCUCUUGGAUGCAAGCCAUUAUGAAAGGUGCUUGUCUAUAUGUGAGACCACCAUGCUCUGAGGGACCCAUUGAAGCCCAUUGGAGGACGGGGCAUUGGAGAGUAGAAUGUCCCAAAGAGUCAGGGUGGGCAGCAUUAGGCACCAGGCACAAGAACUUUUAGGAUUGUUGCAUUUUAUUAUCUUUCUUGCAAAAUAUGAAUACAUGCAUCAAGCACUAAUAAAUGUGGACUAUUCAAUGGUAUUAAAUUAUUGCUAGAAGCAAUGGUGUUAAAUUAUUGCUCAUACCAUGGACCUGAAAAAAGGUAACUUUUUAGUCCUCUUCAUCUUUAUAAUAUACUCCUGCAGGACAAGUGCUCAGCCACACAUGUUUGGGGCUGGAUUAAUUAUUGUGGGGAUGGCACUGUGCGUCACAGCCUCUACAACCAUUCUCUUAGAUGCCACUAGCAACCUUCCAAUUGUGACAAAAUAAAUGUCCCCAGUGGUCCGCAGGCAUCAUCUGUGGGUGACAAACGUGCCUCGGGUUGUAAACCACUGCUUUAGCUGCUCUGUUAGCACAGUGGGUCUUGGGGUGUUUUGACAUUCCUUAAUUUUGUGCCACCAUCCUGCUGGGUUGGUAAUUCCAUUUGUUUCCAGGUUUUUUCCGUUUUUAGCUAUGACAUUUUGUUUUCUGACUUAGAGUAAAACAUUUACAUUGUUCUCACGUCACAAUCUGCCACCAGGGCAGUUGGUGCAUUCUUUUUUCUUAGUUUAAUCUUGUUUCUCUAUCACAUGUAACAUAAUUCAACAAUUUCAUCUCCCUACCCUGCUCAGCCACUCUCACACGAGCCAUUUUCAUUAGCUUUGGGGGUUAGUUUUGGAAAUAAAACCCAAUGUUUCAUGUGUUCACUUUUUUUUUUACUUCCUCCCCCAACUCCGCACAUGCACAUGCCUAUGCACGUCUGUGUGCUGGAAAUGUGGACAUCUGAGAAUUUCUGUGUUGGUUGAUGUAUCAGAGUGGCUGUUAUGUGUGCCAAACUGGAAAGCACGGAGAGUCCAUCUUCAGUUGUGGGGAGGAGGACCGACACAUCAAGGCCAAAUUGCCUACGCCAGAUUUUCAGGUUUUCAAAUUUGAUAGCUUGAGACGAGAGAGGUGGCUCGGGCUGGGAGCACUCCUGCAGCGGUCUACAUGGAAUCUGUAAGUCUAGUUCCAGGAGAUCCAGUACUGUUUUUUGGUCUCUGUGUGCUCCUCCACGCAUGCCACCUCAGCCCCCACAUACACACACACAAUCAAAAUAAAACCUUAUAGCUAAUUCUACCCCCACCCCACCAGUUGGCAGCCACCCUAAAUUUCCCCUCGGAUGAAGCUGGACCUCCUCCUGCUGUAACACUGAACAAGGAUACUACUGGUUUAGGCAGUUUGCCUGGAAUAAAAGAAGAUUCCUUUGGAGUGCUCCUUGGCAUACAUAGCUGGUGUGCGUUCGGAGGAAGCCUCACACGCCAUUGCACUGGGACUUGGAAUGCUUUUAUCACAGAGAAGCAGUCAGUGAGGAGGCAGGUAGAGUUAUCUUGAUCUGAGCAUUGCACGAUGUAUGGAACCAUCAUAUGGUAUCCCCAAAGUGUGUGGUUUCGUGCUUUUACAUUUUGAUUUUAAGUGUACAGUGUAGAGAAAGGGGGAUGCUUCAAGGGAGGCCAAUGCAAGAGCCAAGGUAAAGCCUAGAGUUGGGCCCUGAUCUGUGUCCGUAAGAGAGGCUGGAUUCUAUCAACAGGUGGUCAAACAUUGCAACACCAAAUUUAGCCAUGUGCCAAUUGUCAAACUACUUAUGGGUUAAAAAUCCAUUAAUAUAAUUUCUGUUAUAAAAUUUUCCAAACAGAAAAGAAAGCAGGAAACUACAGUCAGUACCUGAAUCCAAGAACCUUCAAUGUUUUGCCACGACUGUCUUAACUAUCCUUUCUUAAGCAUUUUAAUGCAAAUCCUGCAUAAGUCAAUUCACUCUUAAAUUUUUUCUUUUUCCGUUUUGAAAUUAAAAUAUAUCAUUUUCUCCUCCAGUCCCUCCCUGCUUUCUCUCUCAAAUGCAUGGCCUCUCAUUUCUAAAUACAUAUAUACAACCGGGUCAGUCUUUGGACAUGUACAGUUUCAGAGAUGACCACGUACAUGGUACUGGAUCAUCAAUUUGGGGGCCCUUCCCAGGGAAGACUUUUUUCCUCCUUUUGGCAUUCCUUAGUCACCUAUAGUUCUUUGCCUAAGGCUGAAGACUUGGGAGAUUUGCCCCUUUCGUAUUAGCAUGUCAUUGGUGCUGUCUUUGUUGAGAUCUUGUUUAGACAGCCAUGUUGAAGAGGCUUCAUGGGUGGAGCUUCUCUGUAAGUCAGUUCACUCUAAAAUGCAUCUUUACGUAAAUGGAUACAAGGAACGCUUUUAUGAUUGAUUCCAUUGUCAGUGUGAUUCUUAUAAAAUGACAAAUUUGCUACUAUCUCACAGUAUGCUGUUCAUACUUAGAGUUCAAUGAGUAAAAGGGAACAGUAAUAUCUUCUAUUAGCUUAAACCAGGAUCUAUAGAAAGUCCUUCACUGCAUUAGGGGGUCAUGAACCUAGUGAAAGGGAGACCCAUCCAUUCAGAAGGGCUGUGCCCAGCUGCCAAGUGCAAGAAGUAUCGUGUGAUAUGAACCCCUCCCUGGUCUAACCCUCAGAAUCUCAGGGUUACUUACUAAAGACAUCUAUCUGUGUGACACCACGCACUUUUCCAGGCUGAAUCCUCUCAAUUUGUUCCUAUCAUUUCCUGAUGACACAGUUUUAUCUUUUUCUCCUCCUCUGAUCAAGCUCUGCCUUGUGACGCUCCCUGAAGACACCUUACACAGACUGGCUAGCCUCAGUUAUCAGUCUUUGUCUGAGCAAUGGUGCUUCGCUUGUAUAGAGAGCUAAUGACCUUCCAUGUGGAGAAGAUGGUCUUGGUGUUUGAUGCAAGCAGAACCAACAGUUCACAGCUUUCUGUGAAGAAGUCAUUCUAGCUCUAGCUCCCUUCAUGUUCCACCCAAAUCCUCCUUUUUACUACUAAUGUGCAGCUACGGUGUUAUGUAGGAGAGUGUGGAGGAGACAGUGGGGCCCGGAGCCUCAAAAGCUCAGUUUACUAGCUGGAUGGCACAGACUUUGCAGCCAAGCUCCCCCAGUUCAAAGUCCAAGCCUGUCAACUACGAGGUGGUGGUACUUGACCCUCUCUCUGAAAGACUGACAUGGUAAUAGUACCUCCUUCAAUAGGUUGUUGUGAGAAUUAAAUAAAUCAGUGCCUGCAAAGUAGCAAACAGUGCUUGGCUCAGAGUGGGUGCUACGUGGCUGGGAUUUUUGCUGUCUUGCAUCUACCACCUUGAGAAUAUGUCUUCAGUUCCUUAUUUUUAACUCGAGAUUACAAUCAAUGGGACUUAACUCAUGGGAACUUCGCAAAGAUCAAAGGAGAAAAUUCAUCAAAAGCUGAAGGCACAGUGUCUAGUACAUAGUAAGCACUCAAUAAAUAUUAGCUGCUAUUGAUACAAUAUUUAGCACUUUGUACUUGCCAUGGUACCGAUCCCAAGUCAGAAGUCAGGUAUGCCAGAAACCAACCCAGCAACCUGAUCUAAACUCCAAGCUUUCACAGUGUCUCAGUCAGUCGUGAAGAUUGUUUCUCCCAUGACCUCCAAUCUGUGCCAAGGACCUGAGAACUUAGGCAAUGUCUGGGUUUCCAGAGUCUUGCUGGCCACAAGUCCUCCAUCCACUUAGACAUCUGUUAUCUCAGCCUGGCAAGUCUCUGCUAUUUCUUAAUCCGGAGAAUUUGAGGUAGAAGAGCUGGGUCACAAAGUCUCCCCAGAGGUAGAAAAGCAGCAGAGCUUGCUCCAUAACUUGAAUGUGACCCGGGGGAAAGAUAGGCAAGGGAGCUCCUAUACAGUGACCAUCGAGAGAAGUUUUUAAUGGCCACUACCACACAGAAGGUGAUUCGCAUUUUUGUCCCUCACUGGACACCUGGGCCCUAUGCCAAGAACUCUGCAAAACAUUAGAAGAGAAUAAAGAGCCGAAUUAGACAGGUGUCUCACCCUGUGAGUUCCCUGUCUCCAGAGGACAUCCGGUAAUCUUUUAAGAGACAUUUGGGAUGGUCACAACUAAAUGGGACAAAGGUGCUCUGACAUUUUGUGGGUGCAGAUGUAAGGUGCCACCACACAUCCUACAAUGCAUUCGACAGCCAGUCUCCCUCUCCCCUGCCCACAAAAAGGAUUACUCUGGCCCCAGAUGUUAGUAGCACAGAGGAUGAGACGUGAGAACUGUCAUGUAAGGCAAAAGAGAGUGACAAGGUAAUUGUCCCAGAGGCUUGUGCAACCAAGAUCACUGGGGGACCAUCCACUUCAACCAGAAGGCUCAUUCCUAGGAACUCAUCUCAUAGAAAAAGGCCCUAACAGGCCAGAGUUUAUAUGUAGCCCAUAGCCUUCCCACACAAUGCCAGAUAGCAAGGCCUCCAAAGACAGCAUGGAAACAGUGAGCAGCUGCUGCUCACCCAGCCAAAAGCAGACUGAACCUACAGAGACGGACUCCUUCACUGGGCGGAGACUUGGGGUCUGCAGCAGCAGGCAAGAGCCUCUCCAUUCAGGGUUCUGCUUCUGUUGUCGUCUAGGCAUGGUAAUCUGUAACCUGGACAGGAAAAACUGGCUCCUCAAUUAUGGGGAUGCUUCCUUCUCCACAGCCUUCCAGAAAGUGCCCAUGAUAUUCUGAUAGAGGGUGGGAAGCACCCAGGUCGAGCAUAACAAAAAAACAAAGUCCCUCAAAAGGUCAGAAAUGAGACAAGAAUUACAUCUCAUCACUCUUGUUCUGGAACAUAAUAAAGACUUGCAAGUUCCAGGACUAUCUGGUGCCAGUGAGGAAGAGAAGGUAGAAGAGGGUUUGGUGUUAUGAGGUCAGGUAGUAGAGCUGAAAGGUCAUAUUGUACUCAGAGGAUGUUGAGCUGUCCGUGGUGAGGGACUAAAGGCCACUGUAUACAGGCAACAACAUAGUUUUCCAUUUCCAAUGUGGACGAGGUCUUGUUCAAAACCAGGAGAAUAGCUGGAAGAUUGUCUUCAGUCGUGGGAUCUGACUAUUGUUUUGACUUUUCAACUGCUUUGAGUGUAUGGGGGCAGGGGUAGCUUUAUUUCUAAGAGACCCACUGUUGUUAAUGGCAGCUACAGCCAAGAAUUCGAGAGCUGUUUCCUACGCUGCUUGUAAGGAGAAACCUCUGUCCAACUCGUCUAUAUUUUGACAAGGUCUUCUCAGGGACUGCAAUGGCUAGACUGUCCUCUCUCCACUGCCUUUCAUUGCCAGCUGUCUUCUUAGUCUGCUCCUGUCCCCUGGAGCAUUUGUCUGGCUGGGAAAGCCCUACUUCUUUAUCGACGACUUCCUGGGACUCCUAUGUCAUCUCUUGAUGCUCUCAGACCCCCUCCUCCCUCACUGCUCCCACUUGCUAUUCUGAAGGCUCUUUGGUCUUUGAUUCAGAUCCUGCUUAAUGCUUCCCACUGGGCCACCAUCACCUGGCACCUGGGCCCCGGCAGUCACCUCCUAUUGUGGUGCAUCUGGUCCAGCCUUCUUUUCUUUCUUGGCCCUAGAAACUAUAUGGUUCCUUCUAAAAUGGUCUUGUGAUGCCAGCUUCUUGUUAACACAGUCCUGGCUUACAUAGCAAUCAGCCCCUCUGAGUAAAAUGUCUCAUUAUCCUCAUGAAAGAUUUGGAAGCAGAGGCGCAGAGAGGUUAAGUAUCUUGCCUGGGACCCCACUGCCAUUAUGAGGAUGUGUCGACACUGCCUUCUGGCUUAGGCUCUCUUCAAUCUUGACUUUCAGGGCAAGCUCCAUACCUUCACCUUGGUCUUUUUCUGGUCCAGGCUUUCCCUCUCUGCCCAGAUUUAUCAAUCUCCUCUUCCACAUCACUCUGUGGGACUUGCUCCUUGUGUAGCUGUCUGCAGGUCCUCACAGAAGCCUUGGGGGCAGGGGUGGAAUGUGUCACACUGCUCUGUCUUUGUUCAAGUUGUUUCUUUCCCUAAGAUGUCUUUCUCCACCCAUUCCACCGGACAGGCACAACUCCAAGGCUCACUUGAAAGUAUGUCUUCCCACCAAGUCUUUGUGGGACACCUCUGACGUACUCUGAAGAACUGGGCUCUACUUCCCUUGGGCUUUGCUCAAGUGGGACCUUAUUCUGUUCCUUUACUUUGUCAAACAGGAUGAGGAUGCGGACCAGACCUAACUCCUUUUUACAUGUACUAGAUAGCCUUCUUGAGAUGUUUGUAAGCUGAUUUAUUAACUAACACUGCCUUCCUGGAGAGGGCAUUCUCAGUGGUGUAGGUGAUGAUGAUUGGGUAUUACAUUAGCCUCCCUCAUUGGAAUGGGAAGUGUGCUGGUGCCUGGCUAUUGCCUUUGGAUGUGACUAUAGAGGGGUGAAGCUUUGGAGCCUUGGGCAACAGAGAGAAUAUACAGGAAAGGUUGGGAGAGGAGUGAAUGGCUGCCCUUUGGAUUCUGUCAACUGACUAGGGUAGGGAUGUGAUUCAGUCCUGUCAACUGACUAGGGUAUGGGUAUGAUCCAGUCCUGUCAACUGACUAGGGUAGGGAUAUGAUUCAGUCCUGGCUUGCUCCAAUUCUAGAGGCUGUUCAUAGAGCUCUGCAUCCUUAGUUUGGCCUUUGCUGGUUGAGUAAGAUUCCACCCCUCAAGUCCCUGCCAGGCCAUCCUGAAGCCUUUCUCUGCCCCACUUUUAGUGGGAGAAAGGCCUGAAUUCAUUGCUUGGGGAAGUCUGCUAUUACCUCUGGCUUCUGAGUUCUUCCUGUUAAAAUGAGGCAAUUCCUGGCUGUUUCACUCAGAUCACUGGGCAAUAGGUACCAGAAAAGAAUAUGAGAGACGUGUGUUCAUUCCCUCAGAAUUAAGAUUGCAAGGGGAUACCCCGGGAAAAGCACUCCUACUGAGUAACAGUAUCAAGCCUGGCUGUCUCCAGCCAGACGUGGCACACACUUCAUGACCUGUAUUUUCCUUCUUCCAGAUGGUUAGCCUGUGGCUCAGAACGUCCUAAGGCCUGACAUUGCUUCAGGGGGUGAGCUGGAAGGGCCUCUAGGUCCCAAGCAGGGACUCCUACUACAGUUUCCAUCCACCCAGAUGUGGGUCACCUCAUUCCAGCUGGACAGAGUAGCAUUGGCCUCUCUGAGUUCUGUAAGAGAUGCAGAAAGUGAGCUAAAAAGAGACCCCAAGUUGAUCUUUACAAAGAUUUGUUUCUUUGUCAACAAUGGAUCACACCAUCCUCUUUUGUUAAACUUAACUGUGUGUGGAUGCGCUGAGACUAAACAGCAGUGACAGGGUCCUCCAUCAGCCUCCAGAGCCCUUGCUCUGUGACCUGUUCAAUGUUCCUACUUCACUCUUGUUUGCCUCUCGGUAGUUUGGUGCAUGCCCAAGUCAUGCCCCCCUGGUACCCAUUGCAGCUUAGGUGCCAGUCCCCUGUUCUUGGCACCAAGCAAGAAGUUGCUUUUGUCCCCAACAUAGGGGCUCUGAACACGUUGACUGGAACUAACGGGAAGAUGACAAAACUCAGCCACAUGUUGCAUGCUUUCACCCUUUAAUAUCAGUUAUUGUUCCAAUGGUGCAGACACUCAUGCAGGACUGACAUACAUAGAAUGGAAGUGGACACCCUACUCGUGACCACUCCCCACUUUGCAUCCUGCCCUGGCUCACAUAUCCUUGUCUUACACUCAUUUUUUUCCUGGAACUCCUUUCCCGCAUCUCAUAUGGACUUCUGUCAAGUCAUCCUUUGAAACUAAUCUCCCAAAUCACCCACUUCAGGAACUCUUAAGACUCUUUGUUUUGAUUUUGGUUUGUUUUAUUUUUUUUUUACCAGCUUUUAUAGGACACACUCAAUGCCUUUGUGUGGCUUAUGUUUUCCAGGGGAUGCCACCUUCUGGAAAGCAGAGCCCAAUACACAUAUUCAUGAUUGAACGCAUGCCUGGUGUUUGCAGGCUGACCACAUGCCUGUUGUCACACAGGUAGACAAACGAUUCCCUUGGUCUCUAUGACAUGACUCCCAGUGAUCAUCCCUUACCUCAAUUCAUGCCUUUAUACAGUUUAUUUCUUUCUGAGUUGAAAUUGGUCUUUGAGACCAAUAGAAUACAGAUGUGAUGCCAGGAAAAUGUUAUGUGGCAAAAGACUGGAUCAUAAAGGCAUUGUGAAAUUUGUUCAUGACCUUACAACUUACCUAUUCCAAGGGAAGCCAAAUGCCAUAUCAGAAAGAGUCAAGGCAGUCUCAUGAAUGGUCUACAUAGCAAAAACCUACCUUGGCAGCAAUGCAGUCUUGUGAGUGAAUCACCUUGAAAACAGAUCCUAUAGGAUCAGCCAAAUCCUGACAAACUAGAAUCAGAAGUACAAACCCAUGAGAGCCCUAGAUAGAACCACCCACUAAACUCCUAGUAUAGUAGCCUUGGAAGUUGCUGCUGCAAAGCACUAAGUGUUGGGUUAAUUUGUUACGCAGCAAGAGAUAACUGAUACAAUCCAGUGGUCAACAUUUUCUAUAUUGUAAUGAAGAAAUAAAUGAAUGGAAUGUAUUCUUUUAUAAUUUACAAAAGAAUAUGAAUUAUUUUAUAUUCUAGUACCAGUAGGUACUAUAUGCUCAGCUUAUAGAGCCUACCAGGAUGCUGAACAAAGUCCCUGCUUUUGUGAGAUUCAUUAUUAGACCAUAAGUACUAAUGAUAGAAGAAAAUUAAGCAUGUUGGAUAAAAGAGAAACUGGGGCUCAGAUGGUUUAUUUAUACAUGUUAUACUUAUUUUUAUUUUAUUAUUGCACUGAAGUUUCUUUGAAGUUGGUAGUUUAUCUCCAUUUUACAGAUGAGAAAAUUGAAGGCCAGAAACAUUCAGUGAAGCAGCAGCACCAUCCAAUUAGUCCAACCAGGCCACUUGGAGUCCAAAGCCACAGCCCUUUGCAAUACACAGAUCAACCUGUCUAGGUUUCAAUUCAGUCAUCUCCCAUGGGGCUCAUCCUUCAUCACAGCCUGCACUUAGCAUUGGCUGAGUGCUUAUAAUGCAAUGCUAUAAGAAACGACAAAAAAGACCUUCAAACAGGAUGGCCUAGCUCCUCACUUAAGCCUGGUAUCCAUACCCAUUUGUGGGAUGGAUUUAUCUAUCAGGACCCAGAUGCCUUAUCUGUGCUGCUUGGUCAAAGCAGCAAACUCCAGGCUACCAUCUCACUGCUGCUCGCUUCUCUCCCUAACUCUGUGCCCACUCCGUGCUCUGUAUAAGAGGAGUGACUGGGUUUUUAAUCAAACCUCUCUCUCAGCCCCUCCCCAUCCAUCCUGACUUGCCGGGGCCUCUUACCCCAUCCUUUUCAUUUCUUUCCUAGUUCUCUUCUUGCCUGGUUCUCAAAUCAUCAGAUGGAGAUCAACCAGUACUUAGUGGGGGCUUCCCACAUGCCAGGCCCCAUUCUAAGGGUUUUUAUCUGCAUAAAUUUAUGGAAUCCUCACAACAACCCUUUGUGGAGGUCCCAUUACUCCCCCAUUAAAAUCAAACCUAAAGGCCAUUGAACAACUAGGUGUCUAGCAGAUCUGGGAUUUAAACACAUCUCUGAAUUUAGACUUCAUUCAUCAUCCAAGAUCACACAAUGAGCUGGAAGAACUUUGCAGAUGGGUGAGUUCUAAACCCUUGGAAGGACUGACACCAGACUAUCUCUAGAAGAUAAUAAAACAUCUUAAGUUAGCGCUAGAGAGAAGACAAAUACCACUAUCAAUUCAAAACCCAUCACAGUUUACCGAGGGAUUUGCUUGCAUGCUUAUUAAUGUCCAACCCAAGUCACUCACUCACUAAACAGAGAGGUGCCUACUAUGUGCUACUUCCUGAGCAUUUAUAACUUGACAUGAAUGAUUGUGGAAGCCCAGAGAGGAGGCACCAAACAGAUUGGAAGUCAGGGAUGUCCUCCUGGUAAUAUAAUGAUGCUAAGCUGAACCCUGAAAGAUGCCAGGCAGCAGAGAAGGACAUCCAGGCAGAUGGGACAGCAUGCACAAAGCCACGGGGUGUGACUGAGAAUGGUUUGCUGUAGCAUAUGGUUGAAGCUUCUACAUGUAGUAGAGAUGGGCAAGCAAUGGGUUAAGAGAUGCGCAAGGGCCAGGUGGAGGAAUUUGGUCUCCAGCUGGAAAACAUGGUGGGAUCAUUUAAAGAUUUCAGGAAAGAAAGUGACUGGUAGAAUCAGAUUUGUGUGGUAGAAAUACUACAGCAGGCAUGUGGAUGAUGCGUGGCAAAAGCCAAUUAAAGAGGGAAUUUUGAUAGUUGGACAGAAUACAACAGGUGGGGAAGAGGACUAGCAUUUAAGAUCUGUGGGGGAACUUAUUAGUUGAUUGGUCAAGACUUGGCAACCACUUGGGUGUGGGGAGAACUAAAAAUGAAAGGUGUUGGGGCCAAUUCACCCAGGUUCCUGACUUGAAGGUGGGGGCUGGAUGGUGGUAACAUGUACUGAGAUAAGAGUUAGAUUUAACAACGAUAUUGAUAUAUCUUAAGCUGCCCAGGAUCCUUAAGGCAAUGAUUAUUUUGGAUAAGUAACUGAAGACUUAACGAGGGCACAUGGCUUACUCAAAUUAUAGAGCCAGAAUGAUGUGAGGAAGAGAAGUGAAGCCCAGACCUUUCCUUCUUAUGCAGAUUUGCUCUGUGAGGAACACAGGGAGACUAGAGAGGACAAGGGUGAUGCUGUAAAGGGAUUGGGAAAGGUCACACCAGGGAGAGUUCAAAUCCACAAGCCCAUGUGGUAGGAAAAGCCUAGGAUAUUCAAAGAAUACCAAAGAAAGUUCCAAGAAAGAAGUAGAAAAGAAAGUGGUAAAACAGAACAUUCAAACCAGGAGUCUAAUGUGGGAUUGAGAGGAUACCAGCAGUAGUCUGGAUUUAUUCUUGGAGUAAAGGAAAUGUUUUAGAAGUUAGACCCAGGGUCAUGAUGUUGACACUUAAUUUCCAGAUGUGGAAUCACACGUAAUAUAAGGAACAAUACAGAUGCACCCUAUGUCCCGCAUGCCUUUGCUAGUUUUCUGUUUUGUAUUUCCUAUGCUUUUCAUACAUCACUUGUAAGGAUUCUUCACAGUUUCUGGAUGAGAAGCGUCAGGCAAGUAUGUGACCUUCAGAUCUAUUUUCUCCUGGUUCACAGGAUCCACACAGGACCCUUUUCAUUGAGCAAAAGCUUCAAUUUGCUGAGGUCCAAUUCAUCACAUUUCCUUUUUGUAAAGUAAGGCUUCUAUGUCAGAUGCCCUUCACCUAGCCAUGGAAUGGUGUCUGUUCUGGGGCUGUGUUGGAAAGUGGGGGAGGAUUGAUUGCACAUGGCAAAGCUAAAACAGGGCAGCCAGGCAGAAGAGAGGCUCUCUGGAGCUCUGUGAGGUAACAACGAAAAGUGUGUGGGGUGUGGGUGGGGUGCGGCCACUGUGGGGUAAAAUUCCUUCCAGAUAGAGUUUUGUGUGCAAGACUAGUUGGCCAUCUGGGCAAUAUAACUGGACAUUUAAGCUUUUGUCUUCUCCCAGGGAUAUCCUCAAACUUAAAAAGAAUUGUCAAGGUCCUUUAAUUUACCCUGAGAUUUAUACACAAAAGUACAAUCGUUUUGUCUCCAAUAGUUCUGUAUGGAAGACGUUAUUUCUUUUUAACAACCAAGGCCUAGAGAAAGGCUAGGUAAAAAACAAAUCUCUCCUGUUGACCUUAAUUAGUCUUUUCUGUUAGUUCACCCAGAAUUCCCAUCACCGAUGACAACUGUGGUUAGUGGUUUUGAGACCAUCUCAGGGGACAGCCAAGGACUACAUUCUUUCUCUGAUGUUCAAACCUUCUUAACCUUCUGGUUGUACUGAAAUUUUAACUCAUAGCCCAAAAGUUUAGAUGAGUAAGACUGCUUUAGCAAGGCUCAAGGUGGCAGUGCUAAGCUGUGCUAGUUUCACUGCUUGGUCACACUUCCAACAUGCCCACGGGGAAAAUAGUCACACUAGUGUGCGACUAAGUGAAAAGUACACCAAAAGCCAUGUCUAUGGCCUCUGGAAACAAGCUGGUUGUAUUGAAGAAAGAAAAGGCUUCUGGGACAUUUGAGUUACAAGCUGAACUAUCCUUUCCUGUGUAAUAUGAGUUUCUCUGAGAACUCUGUAGCUAACAAAUUAUAGUUAUUCACAUAGGGACUUGGAAGACACUUCCUUAAGAAAUGAACAAAGUGUGCCUAUUAUAUCCAGGACAGCAAAUGAGAUAGUUUGUUGCCAAUGACAACAUCUGAACUGUCAACCAAAAAUUAGAAUUUUGAGAAAACAAAUUUCAUUUGCUACUAUGUACGUGGCAGGUUUCCGGUGCUUAAAGAUGUUUCUGCCUCUUAUCCGUGGUAUUAUAAAUGUGGUUUUUAAAGAAACUACUGCUGCAUGAAGCUAUGGAAUUAUGUUUUAGUAAAGCUUAGUAAACUUAGUUCCCAGAACCCUCCCUGGUAGUUCAUUCAGCAUAAACUGAGGUAUACUAUGGUACAACGUAUGAAUGAACAUGAACAUUACAGAAGAAUGGUUUCUAAUUUCACAUUGUAAUUAUUUUUGAAAUUAAUCUUUAGGUAAAUUCCACUGACUUUUUUUUCUAAAUAUCAUAGGACUUCUUAGGUUUCUUGAAAAGGCUAUUUAUUAAAGUACCUGUUUGGAUCCCUUGCAGCUACAUGACUGUGUGAAGAUAGCCAAUCUGCCUAUAUUUCAGGUCAGGGCCUCUCUUUGUGUAAAAGAAAUACAGAGGCAGACUGAAGACUCUGUCUUCUGUGUUUAAAAAAUCAAGAAGAAAAAAAAAGCUUGUCUCCACAUCUUCAUUUUUAAAGUAUGUGUGUGCUUAUGUUGAUGUGCAUACAGGUGCCUGGAAGCCAAAGUAGGUUGUCAGAUCUGAAACCGGAGUCACAGGCAGUUGUGAGCUGACUGACAUGAGUGCUGGGAAACAAAUUUGGGCCCUUUGUCAGAGCAGAAAACACCACUAGCCUCUAAGCCAUUUCUCCAGACGCCUGACCCCAAUUUUUAUUUUUAAAUUUCUUUAAAAUUUCUAUUGCAAUAAUGGAUAAGGCAGACCCAUUUAAACAAAAGCUCUUUUAGGUCCACAAUAAUGUCAAGAGACUAAAACUCUGGGGAAGAUUUUGCAAAGUGACAAAGUCUCCUCUCAGUCACUGUGACCCAGAAGCAGCAGCGUGUGGCAUUAAAUCCCUUUCUUGAUUAUUCUCCCUCCUGAGCCUUCCAGAUGUCUCUGAGAAAGGGAUUUAUUUAGUACAAUGGCUGCGCAAGCCAAUGGGGCCAAGGUUCUGAUAACAGCACCAACCCUUAUAAAUUCUUUUUUCCCCUGUUUUUUGAACCAGUGGAGGUAGUGUGGGUCUUAAAGCAUGCAAGACUUGGAUUAAGUAUCAGCUAUACUUUUUGAUAGAAGGCCCUAUCAGUAAGUUUAAUUCUCUGGACUUCAUGAAGUACAAAAUGAGAGAGCUUGUCCUUUGACUGGAGACCAGGUCUACAUCGGACCCCAGGAGGGACUGCAGCGCCACAUCAGCCUUCAGAGGCAGGGCAGCUGUGAGCAGCCAGAUGGAGACCCACGAAGCAGAGAAGCAAUUAGAUGAAGAAGUGAUUUCCCUAACAGGAAUGACCUCAACGACGGUGUUUGUACACCAGACUACCAUGAAGAAGAAUGACUCAGGGCACUUGAUUGCACAAUGUGGGAGACACAGUGGAGUUUUUGAUAGUUUUUGGUGUUGGGCAGAGAUGGGACAGGUGCUGGUAGAGUUCACAGUCAAGCACUAAGUAUUCUGUGGACCCACCAUAACCAUUGCUUAAGUAAGGCAUCUGCAUCAUUUGAGUCCACCAUGCAAUUACUAGCACAUUUAUCACAACAGUGGAGGUAGGGGAAAAAAAUGAGGGACUCAAGAAUACACCCAAGGUCUGGCUCCAAAAUAAUUGACUGCAGGCAAACAUCUCCCCCUUGGAGACUGUCUGGGUGUUGACUAUAGCGUUUCAGCUCUCCUGGGCUAGACAGAAGGGAGGGAGGGACUAACGGCAAGGGAUUAUAGGCACGAUGGGACAGAAUAUAGAUGAAGGUCCCCUGUUUAGAGAGGAGGCCAGCUGAGAGGAUAAUGAAAUCAAAAGAAGACUCAAGGCCAGCCUCACUUAAAUUACCAACCCAAAAGACGCCCAAGAGGCACAAGCAGCUGACCCACCAACUUCGAACUUGAAAAUCGCCCUAAGCUAGAGUCACGUCUGCAGUUUGGACAGCACAGGGUUUUCAUUGUUUUUGCCUAGACACAUCUCUUUCUGAUACAACAAACAUAUUUGUGUAUUUAAUGCCUGAUUUUCUCCAGACACUUUUUAAAGGUUUUUUUUUUUUUACAUUAUUUUUACAUGUGGUCAAAUUGAGAUCUUUAAAGAACUUUAUUUCAAAAAAAGUAAAGAGCCACAAACACUUGUUCAUUGAAGUUUUAAAUGUCUUUGCAUUUAAAAAAAAGUAUUCAUGGAGAUUAUUCUGUGAGGUUCUUAUACAUGUAGCUAAGCGUCUAUAUUUAGGUCCACUCACUGAAUAAGCAUCUCCCCAAACUGUGGCAUUGAAAGUGAAGGUGGUUAUGCGGUCUGGGCCUAUGUAGAAACCCUCAGACUAAGGAGAAAGGCAAGCAUGGAGAAGGGACUACAGGAUAAUGGGAUGUGAUCCGUUCACCGUAAGCAUCCACACAGCCCUCUUGCUGCCUUUUGGCCCCUUCUUCCUCCAGAACUGGGCCUUGUUGCCUCUGGGCCUUAGUGAAAGGACAAUGAAGCAGUUGAAUUGGAGGAAAAGGUUUUGAGCAUCUUGUCAAAAUACUCUCCUUGAAGAGGUGUGGGCUUUAGAAAUCACAAGAUAUGGUAAACCUUCACUCUCCUCUUCUGAAAACAGAAAAGAUCCUUUAGGGAUACGACACCCUGAAGGGAAAUGCCAAUAGGAUAUGUGAGACCCAACAUGGGGUUCCUAACUUAUAUAAAAUGUAGAGAAGAAGCAUCCAAGGACCUAGCUGGCCUCAGUGUCACCCUAACUCCUCAUGGAGUUUUCUUUUUUGGAAAACCUGCAUAGCACUUCCAGGGACUGGGACUGGGCAGGGCAGGGCAGGGCAGGGCAGGGCACGGCAACCUCCCUCUUGCUGUCUGACGAGCUGCAGCACAAGCAGGAGCAGGAAGCGCAGGGAUCGAAGAGGAAGAGGCUCUUUCUUCUAGCCUUCUAGGGUGGAGACUCAGAAAUGUCUCUGAGAUAGCAUUUGCCCUGGCUUCUGAAGAUAAGCCAUGACCAUGUAGCCUGUCUAAUCCAAGAAGAAGCGUAUUUCCUGCGGGAAAGGUAGCAUAGGGAGGGUACCACCAAGAACAGUGGAAUCAAUGGGUAGAUGUCGGCAGGUGCCAGCUGUCUGUCUCUUAGAAACCAUGAUUCUUUUCCAGAUAACCUGAUUCGCAUAUUCUUCUACCAAACAGUGAUGGAUAACAGGUCGGAGUGUCUGGCAAAGGAAAGAAACCAGCAGGGGACGAGCUACAGUUUAUGACUCCUUGAGAUGUCUCAGGAACUGUGCCCAGCACUUGCGUUCUCAGCCUGCCCCCAGUUUACAGAGAAGACUGCCACUCAGGUUUCUCCAGCUGCUUGAAUGGUACCAAAAAAAAAAUGUGAAUCGGAUUUGCCUACAUUGAUUUCCAACCUGAGUGGUUUAAGACUUAACUGGGUAGUUAAGAAAUAAGAUAGGAAGAAAGCUCCCGCUGGUGGGAGGUGGGGCUGGGGCGGGCUUCUCUGCUCCAUCCCAGGUGCCUGUGUGGUUAUCUGUUGAUAGGUCCUGUUGAUCUACCUCCAACUCACACCUUACACCCGUCCACUUCUCUAUAGCUUUACCCAACCAUCUAACCUCAGCCACCACCGUAUCUCCACAGACCAAACACUCAUGCUAAUGCUUGGAUGCUUGAAGGCUCAACGAUGUUACUUACAAGCAAAGGGAGUCCAUUAGUAGUUCCUCAAACUCCACAAUGACCCAUCAAGGUGAAAGCUCUAAUAUCUACUUGGCUGCAUAAAUGCCCAGAAGAAAAGAGCACAUUUCCCUGAGUACCAUAUAGCUAGUUGCAUUUGGUCAUGUGACUGAGAAGAUCAGGGAUAGGAUGGGCUUUUUUCUUUGGUGAAACAAUGUGUUUAACUAUGGUUACGUACAGGAAUGUUGAUGAUUGGUUGUUUACAGAAACAUUGGCAACUUACUAAUGGCUACACCACUGAAGAAAAUGUCUCUCCUUACAUGAGCAGCUUUUGAACCAGCCCUAAAGUGAAAGGGAUGCAAAACCCACCCCCUACCUCAUCACUUCUUUUGGAACUUCUCUUAUACACAGCCUAAUAAAAAUAAGGGAAGAAAAUCAGUGAACAAACCAUUAAGCACACGAGUGAAAUUGAUAAUAAAUGGAAUAUGUCCUGAGACAAUGGGGGAGGGGUGCCUUAACUUACUCUAAAUCUAUACGGCUUCUUUGAGAAGAGAAUACAAUACGUAUGUGCUGAGCCUGGUCAGCUGGGACUUAGGGGGAAAUUAUAGUUUUUUUAAAAAAGAGCAUCUAAGAAUCUUUGGUCUCUGAUUAGACUUUAUCAAGGUCCUUGUGCGCUCAGUCCUCACCUCCCCCAAGAUUUUAGUGGGCUUUUUAUGUUGACAAUCCUCUUCUCCACUGAAGGGUGCAGUACCCUAAGCCCACCGGGAACCCAGGUAUGGGGUAGUAAGUGAAGUCUAGACUAGGCGGGCCAAGUGCUCUAAAGAGGUUGCAGGACAGCCAAGAAUCUUGUCUAGGCCUGAGGAGCUGGAUCUGUAAGUCCCCCCAGGAAAUAGGGGAUUCAGAACAGAAGAAGCUGCUGGGCUUUGAGAUGAGAGAAACCUAGCAGUGGGCUAGGAGAGGGAAACAUGCAUGUGCAAACUGAUGCCCAGAGCUUUCUGACACAACUUGGUUAGGUGCCCAGGCUACACUGACUGGCUUUGAUCACACAGGUGGCUUAGGGGCCCUCCCACCCCCGCUUCUUCAUGUGUGCCAGAGAGAGAAGCAAAUGCCCACGAUACAGAACCUAAGCCUCAAAUACCGAGUUCCUUGUGUGGGCAUUAUCUCCAUUUUACAAAUGAAGGCUUCUGAGGCGCAGAGAGGGAGAGCUGGCCUUGGGGGAUAGAUCCAAGCACCAUCUAAAUUCACACGGAGGAAAGAGGGCACAGCGGGUCUGUUCAGAGAGCCACUUAGACAGGGUAUUGCAAACCUUUGGCCUAGCAGCCAAGGACAGCGUGGGUCUGGGUUUGGCUACCUGACAAUAGGAGAUGGUUCUGCCUUCAGGCAGAGACCACACUUUAUACCGUUUAUCAUGAGGCCCCUGCUUAUUCUUUCAAUUAUGUCCUGCACAGUACGAGUAUUGGAGUAUCACUGUGACCUCAUCCUAGAAAAACCUUUCUUUAGCACCAGAAACUAGCUGAGGACACUUUCCCAGCCCCACUGCCCACUUUGUCACUGGUCCCCCGUACUGUGACAAGAAGGCCCAAUAAUUCAGGGAAAUGGAGCCCAGGUACUUUGUGGUGUAGUAGACUUCUAAGAAGUCUAAAAUACGCAACCUUUCUCCUGUGUAAGGGCAUAGCACACGGAGGCAACGGCCUUGCUCAGGAAGCAGGGACUGCGUGCCCAGCCUGAGCUCAGCAAGAUAAAUUUAACUGGCUCUCUCUCUCUGCCUGCGAGUUCAUUAAGAGCAAGAAGCAGUUGGUGUUUUCCAGCUGGGAACAGAGGACAAAGCAGUUGGAACACAUUGAGGCACCUGAUGGCUGCCCAAAGUUGGGGGGUCUGUACGGGAUGAGGGUGCAGCGGUGCGUGCUUGCAAUCCCAGCACUUGGAAGGUGGAAACAGGAGGAUUAGGAGUUCGAGGCCAGACUGAGCUAAGUGAGACCCUAUGUUCAAAACAUAGAUAGAAAGAAAGAAAGAACAGUAUGAACAUUGAUUCUGAUGUUGGAGAAUCCCUUUCAAUCUCUUCUUCCUGUGUUUUAUCUUCUUGGGAGCGGUGUGACAGCCAAGCUCUAGGCUUUUGCCCUUCAGUCAUAUAUCCUGUCUCUGUGGUCUAGAGUUAAGUAGCCAGUGCUGGGAAUCCCAGGAGGAUUUUGUACAUUUCCCCUUAUAAAAGACUAGCUAGUCUCCGAAUCCUUGGAGUUUCUUGAAGCAUAGCUUGCAGACGCGCCUUGCCUUCCAGAUUAGUUAAAGGGACUUUGAGGUGUAUGACUACAAGUUGCCACGGGCAAAGGAAGUCACUUUCCUGAACUCAAAAUAACCAUCUGUGGGCUAACUCUGUCUUUAAGAUGAAAGCCAUACCUUUUUGGUCAAUGUAAGUGGCCUGUGGCAGUCCGAGAGAAAAAGCGAGAAUCAGAUAUUUAGUUUCUUAAAUGUCUUGAUUUUUUUUUUUUUUUUAAGCAGAAAAAUGUGACAUUGGAGUGGAGUCAGACGGGCUCACUUAGAAGAAAGGCGCCCCCCUGGCCCUCCAAAGCUUAGAUGACAAAUAGGGAAAGAAAGCACCCCAACCCUAAACCUCACCCCUCAAAAAUUGUGUAAAUUGUGCUGCUAAGAAUGGGUGGGGUCUGUGGGCUUAUGACAGCUCACGUCAUUCAAACAAUUACAACUAAGGAAACGUGAUUCAUCAGGGUCACAGCCUGAUGGCCUCCGAGUGGCAAGUUCUAAUUUUACUGGUUUUUAAUGCCUCAUACAUGAUUUCUUUCCCUGGUCUGUUUUGAAUUUCCUCUUCCCUAAUGUAUAUUUAUGUCUCUCCAGUUACAAGCUGACAAGAACAGCCCCUAGCAUAUCUGCUUCCGCUCAGGCCCUGACGUCAUUUACUUAAUUUCCUCAAGUUUCCCUUUCCUUUCCAUUAAACCAGAUGGACUUACAAAGGUGAAGGGGGGUAGUGGGGAGAGAAGUGGCAGCUUUGGACUUUAACAAAUCAAUGAAUUGACAAACCAGCUGACUGGUCAAACAUUUUUUGCUAAAUAGAGAAAAGCCGUUUAAUUCUGAGUACAUGGGAGAAGUUAAGUAAAGUUGAGUGAAUGCCUUUUCAUUUUUCCAUUUCCCCAUUUUGUUGAGAGACUGCUAUAAAUAGAGUUGUAUGAGAGGCAAUAAGAAUCAAACUGAGAACAAACUACUGAUCUUUCCCUUGAGGAACCCUUGAGGAACUCACAGUCGAAUAGGCCAUGCAUGUGUGCAUGUGCCUGUGUGUGUGUAAGCACUUGUACACACACACAGACACACACACACAGACACACCCAUCAGUCAGGAAUUUACAGAAGUUGGCAUCAUCAAGUUUUACUUCUCCCGGUGAACAGUGUCACAGGUCUACAAAGGUGAUAUUGCUAUUGACUUGAUCAAGCCUGCCAUGGGGUUCUAAUUUAAAGGCCCACUAAAGAUACAAUAUGGUUUUCAUGGGACCAUGACAUUUGUUUUAGUCACAGGUCACCAGGAUGCAUCCAGCUCAAGUCCUAGGGAGGGUUUUGCUGUUGCUUGAUCCUUCUACUGACACUGGAGGAUGGGGCAGGGUGGUAAAGGGCCCAGAAAAGUUGGAAGAACAUCUUGGUUCAUAGGAUCCAAGAGAGAUCCCACUGUGAUGUGUCCCGUAUACACUCCAAAGAAAGGACUUGAUGCAUAUUGUUCAAAAAGUGGGUUGGUCUUUGGUGGUGAUGUUCCAGAACCUGAAGGUUGGGGACCAGGAAUAAUGAGUUGGUGACAGCCAAGCUGGCCGACACCAGUAACCAAUCAGACUGCCUGAUCUGCACAUGCUGAAUCAAAGACCACGAGGAGACUUUUCUCAAUUCACUUAAUGUUUGACACCGUGAGUCUCACUCUGGAUACUGAGAUAAAGCCACCUGCUGUGUCCAACAGCUUGGGAUAUUAGAGCUGGCUUCUCCAAGGGUUCCCCAAUCCACCCCAGUGAAUAACCCUCUAGGCAGUAGCUAUCUGCCAUAACAAAUUUGCCAAGCCAAGGGGGUGGGGGCAGGUGGAACCUCCAGAGAUAUGGAGGCAGGGCUACAAAAGGAAUGAUACGUUUUUCCACUCAGGCCAUCUAGAUGCAGCCCCCAGAUGGAGUAGGAGGCCAUGGAGGGAAACUAGACACCACCAUAAACUCAGAAUUCUAAAAUGAUCUCCCCAAACAAGAAGACUGUGAGAUCAUGCAAAAGGGGGAUUAUCCUGGGAGCCAAUCAAAGGUGAGACAGGAGAGGUUUAGAGCAGGCGACACCCUGCUGUUGACCUUGAGGAAAUCAACUGUCCUGCAGUGUAGAAGGCCCCAUGUUGGGGAACAGGUGACCUCUGGGUGCUGAGGCCCUCAGUUCUGUGACUGCUAGCAACUGAAUUCUGCUAAACAACUUGAAAGAGGCCAGUAGCCCUCAGGUGCAAGCCGUCCUGGUUUGACAUCAUGGUUUCAAGUUUCUAAGUCUCUGGGCCAAGACAGUCAGGCCAACUUCAGGCACACAUGUCUUGAGUUGAUGAGCUGCAAGUACCUUAGGAUGCUGGUAUUUUGGCUGGUUUGUUGCAGUCUGUAGCCUGAGAAAGAAAAAAAAAAAACUGGAUGUAUCUAUUACCAAAUGUGGCACUGAUCAUAGUGCAGGCUAUACCAACUUAAUAAUGUUUAGAUAAACUAUAUGAAGACAGAACAGGAAAUAUUUGCUUCCAAUAUGUAGGGAGUAGUUCUGAUGUUUGAUCGGGAAUCUGCAUGCGAACACAGAAGGUCCUGUCCCUCAAUUGGUUCUUGAUUGAUCAAUAAAGAUGCUAGUGGCCAAUGGCUGGGCAGAAUAGGUGGAACAUCCAAGUCCAUGCAGGAGAGAGGAACUGAAUUGCCAUGCUUUGGAGAGGGAGCGCCACCAGCCAAGUAAGAUGUAGGGUGAAGUGGCCAUUGGCUGUUAACCCGACUGGGCCUGGGGUCGCAGGUGGGAGAUUAGAAACACAGCUAAGGUGAGGGCAGAUUUAGGGGUGUUGAGCUGGGAAUUAAAAGAGCAUAAUAGCCAAGGAAGGCUUAGAAGAGCCUGGCCAUUGAACUAAAGCAUAUCAAAAAUAAGCUAAUGUUAAUGUGUGUCUCUUUUAUCUGUGGAUAUGAUAACCUAGGCGGGGCUGGUAGUGUGGUCCACUUGGAGCUUAAAGUUGGGUAGUAGUGUCGGACUACAUGCUACACCAUGAGGCAGUUUGAUUUUUUUUUUUUAAAGUUCAACAAAAAUAUUUUCUUGGCAUUGAAGAACUAGGACUAAGCAUUUUUACAAGUCCUUUCAAGUGUGAUUGUGUGGUCCUCCCGGCCACUCUCUCAUUAAAGAGUUGAAAAGGGGGAGGUGUGAGGAUGAUGGCUUACUCUCAGUUACAACCCAAAAGAGUGUGCACUCAGAUUCUGGGUGUCUGUUUCUGACUGUGCAUCUGAGACACUCUAGAUGGCUCUUGGUUGGUGGUACUUUUAUCAUGUGUAUUAUAGUCACUGUGCACGUCAGGUCUACGCUGGAUCUUAACCUCAAGACUGAGAAGCGACAGCGUUGAGCUCUGAGGGAGAUGAACAUCCUGGCACGAAAUAUCAUUGGUGCAAAGUUAUGGGCAAAGUCAUCCAGAUUUGUCCCUGCUACACUGACUCACGGACACCCUGCCAAGCAUUAUUGUGCUCAUUUUACAGGUGAGAAAACCAAGCCCCGGGAACAUCUUGGCCAAACUCACCCCACUAUUAAAUCACAGGUCGGGGACUCGAACCAGGGUCCUUGUGACUCCAAACCUGAGCCUCCUUAAUGUAUUGGUAAUUGGGUUUAGAAGUCUGUGCAUUUUAGACUUCACCAGUGAACAGCCUACAAGUACUACAGUCAAUCUGACCCAGGUUGCCAAGCUGGCCCUACAACUUAGGAAUGGUGGAUACUAUUGUCCAGUUCUCUGACUCCCAUUGUUCAGUGACUGACCUGCACGAACUGUAAGUUUUGCCAGUGCUAGUCAAAUUCUCCCAUAUCUUUGGUUUUUAUACCCAUCAUCCCCUUGUCUUGGUGCAGGUUCUUUGGUCCUUGUACCAGUUCAUCUCUUCCCCCAGUCUUGUGAAAUGGGCCCAGUUCUUACUACCAUUUACUCACCCACAGAGAAACACCAACUUGGGUUUGAACACACACCAUGGCUGCUUUAGGUUCAGCUCUGGUCCUUGAGGCUCUUUGCCUGGGACCCUCUUCUGCCUGAGCCUUCCUAAUCCAGUGUGUGUUACACAGUCUUGGCGGUCUGGCCCUUGCCUGCCAAGCUCUGACCUUGGAUGUCCCUUCAACUCCUGCUUGCAAAGGCAUUUCCUGCUGUUGACAAGAUCCCCGCAGUUAGCCCACUCCCAGCCCUGAGACACAGGAAGCCAGCUGGGCUCCCACAGUGUCUCUGCAGAGAGCCAACUCAUCCUGGCUCUUAAAGGUGACAUGAGGCAUUGCAAAGGAAAAGCUCGCAAGCUUCCUUUUGAAUAUUUUUCUCAAUGUUUAAUUUUGACAUGCCUGCCAUGUUGUUGGCUUGUCAAUCUCCGCACUCGGAAGGCUGGGAGGAAAGGGGACUGUGACUUCAAGUCCAGCUUCAGCGAUAUAACAAGGUCCUGUCUCAAAAAGUAAAACCAAAAUGCCAUUAUUUCACUUAAGCAUAAUAGCCUCACAGAAAGUAUAAAAAUCAUAAUUAUUCAGCAGUCAUUAGCCACCACAGGGGCAUAGAUUUCUGACCACACAUCCAACCAGCGAUUCUUAUAAGUUUGCUCACAGUUCUCCCCAGAGGGAACUACGAUCCUUUUUACUAGCACAGUUAGUUUUCACCUUAAAUACAAAUGUAAGCAAUAGAUAUAGAUAUAUGACUUUUAAAUUUUUUAAAUUAUUAUUGUGACAAAUAUAUUUAAUGCAAAAUUUGCCAUUUCUCCAUUUUGAGCACAUGAUGGGAUGGCAUUAGUGUACUCACAAGGAAAGUGAAACUGUGGACCUGUCAAGCAGCACCUUUCCAGUCUCUCCCCUUUUGGCCUCUGAUGACUCCCAUUUUACUUCUAUGACUUUGGGUCCUUUUAACUACCUUGUAUAAGAAAAAACAUCAUUUGGUUUUUUUUUCAUUUUUAUCAUUUGGUGACUGAUUAUUUCACUUAGUGCAAAGCCUCAAGGCUGUAGUAUAUGUAAGCAUUUUCAAGGCCAACUAAUACUCCUUUUUGUGCAUCACCUGCAUUUCACCGCUCCAUCAGUGUACGCUUGGGGCAAUGCCAUGCUUUAACUGUUGUGACUACAGUGCAAACGUGCAAAUAUCCCAAGGCUCUGCUUUCACCUUCUUUGGCUAAACAUCUCUAAAUAGAAUUGCUAUAUCAUAUAGCAAUUCUGUUUGAAGAUUUAAAAAAAAAACCCAAACCCUUACAUAUAGUCAAGUGAUUUUGAAUUAUGGUACCAAGACUCGUCAGCAGGGAGAGGAGUUGUCUUUUGAACUGAUGGUGAUGGGAAAUAAGGUUUCUACACACAAACAGGGGAGUAGAACCCUCAUCUAACCAAAAACAUAUUGACUCGAGAACCAAAGACUUGAUACUGUGAGACCUGAAAGCAGCCAGGAAAUAUGGAACAAACGUUCAUGCUGUUGAAUUUGACAGGGACAAAAACAUAAGCAACUAGAGAAAGACAAAGGGGGCUUCGUGAAAAUUAAAAAGCCCUGUGCAUCAAAGAUGCUGUCAGCAGAGACAAUGCACAGAACAUGAGAACACACUGAUAGAUCACAUAUUUGACAUUGGAAUAGAGAGGAGGUUUGAAAGCAGGUAAAAUAGCCCAGUUGAAAAAUGGACCAAGGGCAUAAAAGGCUGGCUCUCCAAAGAAGGCAGAUGAGCAACACAGGCAAAGACGUUCAACAUUCCUGAUCCUUAAAGAGAUGCAGAGCAAAACUCGAGGAGAUGCCACAUCUCAGCCAUUAGGAAGCCUGUUAAAAAACAAAAGUAAAUAACAUCGAGUGGAGAAGCUGGAACCUGUGUGCCCUGCCGUGGGAAUGUAAGAUUAUUCAGCCUCUGUGGACAUGGUAUAUAUUCUUGGGUAGGAUAAUUCCCAAUUGUGUUUGAGAUUCAUGAAUGUGGUGUCGUUUAACUAUAUAGUUGCUGUAUAGGAUCUUAUUACGUGAAGCUGUUGAAAAGUAUUAACUAUGGGUUGCUUCCGGUUUGAGGUCUGGAAAGAUACUGACUACACACACAUGGUACAUGCAUGCGUGCACGCUCACACACACACACACACACACACACACACACACACACGUUUUAUUACAUAUAUAUAAAUGUAAGCCAGAAUGUAGUAUAGUAGUGGAAUAGUUCUCGUACUUAUCUACCAGCCUUACCAGUUAUCAACACAUGGGCCAAUCUUUUUUUCUAUAGUCUAUCCACUUCUUUUCUAUAGUCUAUCCACCUCUGAUUAUUUUGAAGCAAAUACUAACAUCACAAAUAUUUAUCACAAAAUAUUUCUAUAUCUCCAAGUGAUAAGUGUUCCUUUAGAAAAAAUCCACUAAAUAAUUUUACCCAACCAAUAAUGUAAUAUUAGGGCUGGAGAGAUGGCUCAGCAGUUAAGAGCACUGACUGCUCCUCCAAAGGUCCUGAGUUCAAUUCCCAGCAACCAUGUGGUGGCUCACAACCAUCUGUAAUGAGAUCCGAUGCCCUCUUCUCGUGUCUGAAGACAGCUACAGUAUACUCAUAUGCAUAAAAUAAAAUCUUUCUUUAAAAAAAGAAUCAGAUAUGCAGUCUCAUUUACACUAGACUGAUGUGCACAAGUUUGUCUUCUGCAGUUGUUUUUCUUUAACUUGCAGCUCACCCUCCUUGCUCCCUGCAAAUGCUGUGUGAGAGUAGAUGCUGUGUGAGAGUAGAUUCCGUGUGAGGGAGUAGAUUCCGUGUGAGGGAGUAGAUUCCGUGUGAGGGAGUAGAUUCCGUGUGAGGGAGUAGAUUCCGUGUGAGGGAGUAGAUUCCGUGUGAGGGAGUAGAUUCCGUGUGAGGGAGUAGAUUCCGUGUGAGGGAGUAGAUGCUGUUUGGUGUAGCGUUUCCUGCAUUGUUGCUUUUCUGCUUGGUCCCCAGGGUGUUCCUGAAGCUGGUCCCUUGCUUUAUCUUCUAUGUAUUGGUAAAUUUAUUAUUUUUAAAUGUUUUGUGGGUGACAGUAAACGUGUAGGUCAGAGGACAACUUACCAGCGUCAGUUUCUUCCAUCAGGUGGGUCUGAGAUAUUGAGCUCAGAUUGUGAGGCUUAGAGGCAGGUGGUCUUUCUUAGCAAUGAAGCCAUCUCACAGGUCUGAAGUGGUAGAUGUAAAGGCUUGCUAUGAGUCAGGUUUCUCUCAAGGGCAGUAUUAAUGUGCAUCUAGCCUCUCUGUGAUGUAAGCAUUGAUGAUCAUUGCCUAGGAGCCAUUGGUAACGGUUGUAUAUGCCCAUCAGUUGCCACUCCUCCUUUAAUAUCGGGAUACUUACAUGAGGAGAUGCUCUCCUGAUUCCACAGUGCGGUCACCCCGAGACAUAGGCAAUGCUGGGAUGUGUCCUAUGUUAUGGGUUUUCAAUAUAUCAGCACGAGUCUCCUGCUUCCUCUGAAGGUGAGCAGAGAAGGCUAUUUUUAUUGACGAUACUAUUUAUGAACCAUUUAAAUAUUUGGCAUGUUCAAAUUCAUAGUCACCAGCACCAAACAUGGUUCACAGAUUUUAUGCUGAAGUUCUACGCCUGUUGGUGGCUCGGUGCAGUCCUUCCUGUGGUCAAAGGCAUCGUUUCUGUAAGGCUCCUUACAUGCCUUUCUAACAAACAAGUGUGUGAAGGAACCACCUGCCUUCUCCUGCAUCCUCCUCUGCACCAAUAUCUGGAGAGAAGCACUGUCGGGAGCCCUGCAUAGCGUCUUCCUGUUUUCCCCCUUGUCUGUCUGUCUGAAAGCCUAUGCACAGACCGACUUUCCCCUUCCCCAUCUAAAAUGAAGUUUUCCAUUUUACUCUUUAAGAUUAAAUGCAUAUGUGAGUCACUUUUAAAUCAAGAGAAAUGCAAAUAAGUGGAUAAUGAAGUGGGAAUGUUUUUGGACUUACGUGUUGCUCUGCUAACGUGUUUUUAUUAUAGACACCCCCACUCCUCCCAACUUCAUAUCCUUUUUCUUUUAAUUCCUCUACAAUUUGUGCUGCCCAUAGACGCAUGGGUGCUGUGAUAGCCAUGGAGCAUGGAUGACGUGUCAGAGGACACAACCCUAAAGAAAAUGGACUCUCGCUCUCCCAAAAGCUAUUCCCCAUCAGUAGCUACUCUUUAUGGGUAGGAUUCCUGGGCCCCUCUACAACCAUGCUGUAAAGCUGGCUGACUUGAUCUUGGGUAGGCAAACACAACUGUUGGGAGUUCUUGAGUGCAGGGGUCCAUCUUGUCCAGAAGAGAUCAUUUGUGCUCCAGUCCUCCUCCAACAUCUGCUGACAGAUUAAUCUCUGUGUAUGUGUGUGCACGUGUGCAUGUGUGCACGUGCAUUCACACAUGUAUAGAGGUCUGAAAUUAGUCUCUAGUGUCAUUCUUCCAGUCACAUCUAUCCCAAUUUCCAUUUUUUUUGAGACAAAGCCUCUUUCCUGGCCCAAAGUCCAUCAAUGAGGCUAGGCUGGCCAGCCAGCCCGCCUCAGGGAGCCAUUGGGACAGGCUGCCUAGUUCACACGCUUGUUCUCAAAGAAAUGAAACCUCCAUUUUUUUUUAAACUAUACAAUGUUAAACCUGUCUAGAAAGUAAGUUCCCUCAUUAUUUCUGCUGGUCUACAGAAUGGUGUAUAUUGGACAGUUGAGAUAAAUAGAGACUACUGCUUGCACUCAAGCCCCAAGUUAACGAUCUGCACUUUUUCUUCCACUUUCCCCACACCAGAUAAGUCCUGGAGAAACACGAGAAUGUGCUCAUCUCUAUUUUCCUCAUUUUACAGAAAUGAGAUGUAUCGGUCAGGCUCCUCGCAGGGUACCUCAGAGAAACCCUCUGUGUCAACUACCAUGGCUCCUGCUUAAGCCUUUAAGUGGGGACACAGCGCAGUACAGUCAUGCCAAACUUGAUUUACCUACUGUCAUAGCAUGGGGCCACUACCAUUUUUAUCACUAUAGCAACUUGUGGCUGAAAAUCACAACACGAUAUAUUUAUAUGAAUUAACUGGCAUGUCUGUGCUUCAAUUUGAAAUUUCCCAUUCAAAGAUCUAAAAACAUCUGUGAUUUGAGAAAAGUUGUGUGAUCUAGUAUUGCUGUCAAUUGAACAUAAAUUGUGUGGAAAGUUGAUUACAACAACCCGCGAACAGUGUUUUUGAUGAAAUGGUGCCAAUAAAAAGAAUAUGGACUAAAUAACUUAUGAA